rnacentral:lncRNA from 1 species
UGUUUUUUUUUGUGUGCGUGCGAGUGUGUUUGAAAGCAAAUGAUGCUGUCACUGCAGACAAUUGGUCAAGCAUAUGAAGACAUGCAGACACAAAACCAGCAUCUUCUUCAACAGGUUGCCGACAGAGAUGAUUUUAACAUAAAGGUGCGUAUCUGAUACCAGGGCAGCUCUUCGCUGCCAGCUUGCUGGGCUUUAUGUGGUGGAAUCCGUGCUUCUAUCUCACCGGUGUUUCCUCUUUGCUGGCGGCAUGGCACCCCCCUCAAUAUAGCAACACACCACUAGGAUCCUGUUACAUGCUCCAUGUGCACAAGCAUGGUGACAGCUGCGGCUGUUGGGCUAGGUGGCCUGGUGUAUUUCUCUUUUCCCUUUUCCAUCUCUAUCUAUUAGAAGUUACUCCAGUUGCUGCUACUUGUUGAUUCAUAUAGUGUGUCCUUGCAGCACGUCUCUAGCACUUCAGAUGCUGGGGCAGUAGUCCAGUGCAUCACCUUGCCUUAUCGCCUUAUUAGCCAGGCACUUUAACCCCACAUCAUUUAUACUCUGUUGAAUUGCCAGAAGAAACACUGUUUGUUUUUCUUAUUGGUUCCAUCAGUAACUUGUUUCUCAUCUAACAGCUAGUAUCAGAUAGUGUGAAGACAAAGCAAGCCUCUGCUUCCCUUCUCUCUGAAAAGCAUUUGUUACAGAAGCAACUCCAUCAGGUUAACAGUUCACUGGAGUCAUCUAAACAAAAACUCUCCCGUGGUGAAGAGCAGGUAAUCUCUGACUCAUGCCCUGUGUGUUAUUUAUGGUUCAGUUUGCUGUCUGCCAACAGUAAUUGAAAAUCACGUCAAAGCAGAUAUUAUAUUGUAUUAAUAUAUAUAUUCUGUGUGUGUCUGUGUUUACCACUGAGCUGGUUUUGAAGUGUCUUUAUUUGAAUAAACCUUACAGAUGAAAGCCUAUGUCGCACAAGCUAUAAAAACUUCUUCAGAGAACAGGCAUCAUGCAAUUACCAUUGAAAAGACUCUGCUGGAGGUAUCUGAAGCAGAGAAGGAGCUCAAGUGGCUUCGGUCCGCCGUUGGAUCCUCUGAGAAAGAAUAUGAGCAAAACCAGAAAAAAAUAGCUGAGCUCAGAACGGAGCUGGAGCGUGAGAGGUUAGGCUUGCUGGUGUGGUGUUAAUUUUUGGUUCCAAGUUGGCCUUGCUGUAAUGCCACCCGGGCUUGUUACAUUCUCUUGCUAUCUUAUUAUAGAAGCGAGAAGAGAAAGCUCGAGGAAGAAUACGAGGAGGUGAAGAAUGAAGUCGCGGAGCUGACCUCCGAGAACGAAGAGGCUACUAUCCAGAAGCUCCAGGACGAGAUAAAAGAAUGCAAGGCUAUUCUCAAGUGUGGCGUGUGCUUUGACCGACCCAAAGAGGUAAUUUGCUGUUCAUUGAAUUGCACAACCUUAUUUUUGGAUGAUGCAGAUUUGUAUGUGACUCGAGAUGGUAGAAGCUGAGUUAUACAGCUAUUUUUAUUUCCAUGUGACCGAAGUUCCUGUUUCUCUGUUAUGCUCUUUAACCUGUGACCAUGUACUGCUGAAUGCUGAUUAGCUUUCUGUUACUUGUUUGGUUGCUGGCAGGUUGUGAUCACCAAAUGCUUCCAUCUAUUCUGCUCAACAUGUAUCCAGAGGAACCUUGAGCUACGCCACCGGAAGUGCCCAGGCUGUGGCACCCCUUUCGGGCAAAACGACGUGCGAGAGGUGAAGAUCUGAAGUCUCGGCGAGUUUGCCUUGGAUGACCUGGUAGUAGGUCGUUGGUGCCUCUGGACAUCAUCAUCCAUCUGCUGUCCGUGCCUUAGAUCCAGCAAAGAAGUCAUAAAACCUAAGUAAGAUAAAUGAGCACGUAACAAAGAAGUGGAAAAAAAGUUUGUUGUAACUUUACCACCUGUGAUGUUUGAUUGCUGGGUGAUCUCUUGCCUCUACUCGAGGCCAUUCCAAUGAUGGUUUGAACUGAGUUAGGAGUAAAUAAGAAAUAACGUGAAGAUUGUUUCUGCCUUCAAAAAGCUUGGUCCGCUAGGAUAUGAUGAACAGGGACGUCCUGCAUUGUGUGUUUCUGUAGAUCAUUAGCAACAGUUGUUUCUGCCGAGCUGCUCUUGCUAGAGUUGAGAAGCUCCUGUCCUGCUGCAGAACAAAUAUACAUGAAGAUGAGCAAGCUUGACGGGCAAUUCUUUCAUAAUUAUUUUGUCAGCCAUUACAGUCAAAUUAUGCAUAAUCAAACUAGUAGCCUUCUCCUUAUUUAGACACCACUGACGAUCGAGUGUCACCUAUGUAUUACCCUGAGUAGUGACCAGAGUACAAAACUGCGCACGUAGUUCCCUUCAGGAGGCUUUCGUCGCAAUUUGUAUUAAGCUUUGAAGAACUAUAAGCAGGAGGCGACCAACCACUUCUAUCCAGAUGAUGCUUCUUGUUUGUUUGGCUCCUUCCAGUAUUUGUGAUAUCUCCUCUUUUCAGUUUAUAUUUUCUCCUAUUCUCUAUUUUGUUUUUUCUUUCAUUCUUUACCCCCUUCUACUUAUUGCUUUAAUUUUUCAUGGGUUCUACCAGUACAUAGUCUGUUGAUGUUGUUUUAUCAAAUGUUCAAGUAAUAUAUUUUUUCACAGGUGUAUAUAUUUUUUGAAAAGUGAAAUAAUUUUAACACAAAUAACUUUGUCAUAUUUGGCAUGCAACAAAUAACGUUUUGAAUGAUUGCCACACUUUUUUCAGAAGUAAAGUUCAAUAGCUUAUCAUAGUACUUGAAAUAAGAAGGAAAAAAAGUCACUUUGUGUGUUGGAAUGAUUUUUACAAGUCGCAUGAACAUUUUAUAGAUGCACAAGACCAUUUUUGUUGGUGUAAAAUAACAUAUUGUUCAUAUCUGUCAACACAUACUUUAGAAGUUGCAUGAACACUUUAUUUGGCAUACAUGGCCAUUUUUCGUACAUGGUGCAGAGUUUUUUUUCUGUAGUUGGCAAAAAAAAAAUUAAAGUCAUGCAAUCAAUUUAUUUGACAUACCAAUAUUAUGUUUUGAACAUAUGAAUAUUUUUCUAAGAGACAAAGUUGUCAAAAGAAAGCAAAGAGCUACGUACAAAACAUUUUAGCUAUUGACAUAUCUUUGGGUUUUUGCACGAACAUUUUAUUUGACACACAAGAACCUUUUUAGUAUAUGUUAAAAAUAUUUUUUAAUUACUUUUGAACAAAGUAUUUUUUUAAAACUCUUAUAACAUUUGAAAACAAUAAUAUAUAGAACAUGAUAUAUUUUUAUUCAGUAUCAUAAAUUGCUCGCUAGUUCUUACCAGGCAUACCAUCGUUGAUGGUAAUCCCUAGGGGAAAGAAGGUGUCGAUCAUCCAACCCUAAGAUAGCAGUUGAGCCGUGGUGAGCUGGCACUAACAAAGCCUCAUAAUUAAGGGAAGGGGCACGAGGCUUCUUUGUGUGACCUAUUUCUAUUGUGUUUUUGGUAACUUCUAUACAUGUCAUGCUAAUUUUGGCAUUGUAAGAAAUGUCUACCCCCUCCCCUGUGUGAAAUCCUAAAUCAGCCACUGCCCACUGGUUGCGGUAGCCGAUGGUGUAGGGUUGGGGCGGCGAAUGCGAAGCAACACACGUGGAGUCGUUGUUGGUGUGGCACGCGCGGGGGGAAGAGGUGGGGAUGCUGCUACCCGUCGUCCGUCUUUUGGUGGCUAUGCACACAGACACGGGUUACUGGGGAUGAACUCCGCUUCCAUGGAUUGUUUCAGAAGGGACCAUGCAUACAAUAUUUUGGAGUUGGGUUAUUGUAGACGUGAAUCUCUGCAACGUAGACCGUUGGAUCGACAUCAAUCGAUGGUUGAUAUCACGUUUCAGUUUAAGGAUUUAAAUUUCAGAAUUGGCAAGAUAAGUUUGACAACCCCUCGGUGAGAGGAAGGGUUUUUUUUUCGAGCAUAGAGGUUUCUGGGUAAAUUUAGAGUUUGCAAAGGAACCUGAGCCCGGCCCAGCCGGUUUCAUCUCAACGAGGUACGCUAAGCCCAGCCCAAAUGCAUUUCUGUUCGUUUCCACGAGAUAGGAAAACCUACCACUCCGCCGCCGCCGCCGCCGCCGUCACUACCACACACACACACACACACACACACAAGCAGAGCAGGAUGAGCUCCCAACCGGCGGCCGCACGAGCAGCAGCGACGCAUCUCCUCCCUGGCCUCCCGGAUGAGGUCGUGGUCUGGGAGAUCCUCGUCCGCCUGCCCCCCAAAGCCCUCCUCCGCUGCCGCGCCGUCCGCCGCGCCUGGCGCCUUGCCACCUCCACCCGCGACUUCCUCCUCGCCCACCACGCCCGCCAGCCCACCGCCCCCCUCCUCCACGGCUACAACUGCGCCGGCGACGUCGUUGAUUCCCUAGACAUCAUUCCGUUGGACAACGUAGCAGGGGCCGACGCCGCCGACCAGCUCCAGUACAGCGCGCGACCUGGCAUUCGCAGCGUUUACGGCCACGGCCUCGUGCUCCACGACUCCUGCGAUGGGCUCCUCCUCCUCUCCCUCUACAGCACGCACUCCGUCUACAACCCGGCAACUCGUCAGUAUGCUCCCCUCCAGCAGCUUAAUGGCUUUAUGCCCUUGGGGAUGUACCGGCACGGCCCUACCGGCGAGUACCGAUUGCUGCUGCACCCGUUCCGGAGGUCGGUGGCGCCUGACGCUCAAGAUGGCGCCCACGUCUUCUCUUUAGGCUCCGGCCAGCUGCCAAGGUACAUAGGGUGCUCUGAUACACAGGAAUUGAUACACAUUUCAGCUGGAUCUGUCCUGUUCCAUGGUAGCCUGCAUUGGUACAUGAACCGCAUUGUAAUGGUAUUUGACACCAUUGCUGAGUCGUUCCGGUCGAUGCGAUGUCCGAUUGUAAUUGGCUGCGAGGACCUGUUUGAGAUGGGUGACAUGCUUGGCAUGUUUAGUCUCAACUAUGAAGGGACAAGCGUUGAAAUCUGGGCGAUGCAGGACUACGAAGCCGAGAUCUGGGCCUUAAAGUACCGGGUCGAAUUUCCGGUUGCGGAGAUCAGCUUGCAAUGUGGAAAGUUUGACCAUCAUUGGGAGGUGAUUGUCACGUCAUGGGACAGUGAUGUGCUCGUGCUGCUCCGGUUUGAUGAUUGGCUACUUCAGGUUGGCAUGGAAGGCCAGUUGGUUGCCAGUUUCCAUCGCAAAGGCCUCCGUCCUACUCGACUUCGGCUCAAACAAAGUCUAGUUUCACAUGCCUUCUUUCCGACACUGGAGGGUUAUGUUGUGAACGGCUCGCCUUUCAUCAGAUGAUAAUGUGGUGGAUACACAUAUCCUUUCAUCUGAGGGUUGUUGGCUGUGAUGGUGCUUCUUAUGGCCUCACUCCGUAUCCACGUCAGCUGCAGUAUUGAGGGUCAGUUCGUUUCAUCUUUUGGAACUAUAUUUAUCAUUUCACUUUAGCUGCUAUCCAUUUCAAGUAAUUGACACUUCAUGUGACGUUCAAUCUUAACAUCGGCUUGAGAAAACAUGUACUGAUAAACCAAAGAACGGUUUAUCAUGGUCUGGCUCAGGUCAAAGAUUGUGCACCCCGUUGGACUGCGAGCCAUGUUCAUUUUUAUCUGUAAGCAGUGCAAGUCCAUCAUGAUUCAUGAGUACCAUUGGUUGAAAGCAGAUUGCCUCAAGCAGGAGAUCACGAGGAAUUGUGUGUCAAGCAGAUUGUGCCAAGCUCCCUCCAAUUACUAUUUUUUGUGGGGUUCAAUUGUUUGCUUCUGGAUGUAUUAUGUGCCAUUGGUGAUUGCUCAGCUACCCACAUUCAGUUUUUUGCAGUAUGCGCGUCUGUGUGAGUUUAUUUUCCUGUGAUGAAUGUACAUACUGGUGAAUUGUGUGCGUUUGUGGGGUUACAGUUUACACUUCGAUGGUAUAUAGUACAAGAGUAACACCCAGAAUAUCAGUGUUGAUGUUGAUGCAUACAAGUCCUUUGGGCCAGCGUUUGAAAUGUCUGUCAAUUGCUCAGACUCGUAUCUCUGUUUUCUUAAACUGAAGAAUGUACUUUUCCCCCCUUAGCAAGAGUUGCCUUCUUAGUACUCAAUGCUUGUUAGCAGUUCAACCUGCCUCUUGUCUCUUUUUAUUUAAUUGAAGAAUCAACUUGUCCAUUUAUCAGAUCUUCUUUCUCAGAGAUCACCUAUCUUCUUAAUACUAGAAUUUAGCAAAUAUACAUGGGUUUCCUGUUUCUAUAUUUUGUUUUAGCUGACGAUGAAAUGAGACAGAUCAUCCUCCUUGCUGAUUAGCAAGUUGUAGCCGAUUUUGUAUACAAGGGUUCAGAGCACUAGUUAAACUGAAAGAUUGCAUUAUAACUCUGGCUAAGUAUUGAAACAUAUUAUAAUUCUGCUUUCGUGUUGCUUCAUUUGGAACUAUAUUUAUCAUUUAACUUUAGCUCCUAACAAUUUCAAGGAAUCAAACGUUUCAUGUGAUGUUGAUCUCAACAUCGGCUCGAGAAAUGGAACUUGUACUGAUAAGUGAUAAGCAGAAGAAAGGUGUAUCAUGGUUCAUCCCAGGUCCCAGAUUGUGCACCCCUUUAGACUCUGUAACCACCAGCCAUAUGUUCAUUUUUUUUUCUCUCUGAGCGGUGCAAGAUCAUCUUGAGUACCAUUGGUCGAAAGCAGAUUGCCUCAAGCAGCACAUCACCAGGAAUUCUGUCUCAAGCAGAUUGUCUCAAGUUCACUCCAAUCAUUUCUUUCUGGCUGUAUUAUCUGACAUUGGUAAUUGCUCAGCUAUCCACAACAUUUGGAGGCUACUCACAUUCAGUUUUCUGUAGCAUGCACAUUGGCAUCUGCGUCCAUGUGAGUUCCUUUUUUCCUGUUUGAUAAAUGUGAGGGUGGCGGCGGGGCUUGUCUCUGCGUGGCGCUAGAGCAGAUCUUGCAGGAAGGCUUGUCAGGCUCUGGCGAGCGCGCUGGCGCGACUCCGGUGCCGGCUGGCACGGAUCUGGUGGCCCGGGGGCAGGGGCGGCACGGCGGUGGGUUCGCGGCGACCUGGUGCGAUAUGGACUCGGCUUGAGUGUUGCGGGCGCAGGGCGCGGUGGGCGGCGCUCGAUCGGGGCCGGGCAUGGAGGCUCGGCAGGCGCACUUCGUUGCUGGAGGAAGUGUGGCGAUGCCUGGAGGAGACUGUCGGCCUUGUGGUGCGGUGGUGUGAGGGCGGCGGCUUCGGCCGUGAGGGGCACGACAAGACGUAGUGAGGACGCCCUAGUGAUGCGCGGGUCAGGGGCCCGGUUGUCGACAAAGAGCGCCCCAACUACGAGUGUUGCGGCUCCGGUCUUUGGCGGUUGUGGUGGCGUGCAUGGGGCGCGUCGGUGCUUCUGUUGCUUGGCCGCGGUUGGGAACCAUGGUGGUUCUUGGCUUCGGGUGGCGCUUCUCCGUUCUCGUCGGCAUGGUGCUUGGCAAGGCACGGCGGCUCAUGCUGCAUCCGGUGGUUGUGCGCCAGGAAGGCCAUUGAUGGAUCUGGCACCUCGUUCUGGUGGUUGGCCGUCGAUGGUCUCCGCGAGGUGCGGUUGGCUGCGGUGGAUCUCGAAGCUUCUUCUUCGUCGUUGGGCAGCUUCGAUGGUGGUGGUGGAUGGUGGGCUCGCUGGCACCGGUGUGGGAUAAUGUGUGGCUGAGGUGGUGUGGGAGCUUGGGUGAAGACCCUGUCCUGGCCUUGAGCCGUGACCAGCGAUGGCGCCAUGACGGCGGCUGUGGCGUCGUUGAUCUUCCUAGGGGCAUCGUUGUUUUGCUGCCACACCCCUCCUGCACGGAUCCGGCCAUCUCGGCCUCUCCGGGGGAAACCCUUGAUCUGUGAUCAGACAAUGGCAGCGCCUUGGUGUCGUAUUCUCUCUUGGGGGCUUCGUCUUGGUAGCUCGGUGUCCGCGGGCGGGACUCGGGGAAGGCGGCGAUUGUGGCGACCAGACUUCUAUGGCAACGGUUAUGGUAGGAGUGUUGUCGGCGAUGCGGCAAUGGUUGCGGUAGUCGGCUUCUUCAGAGUUCUCCAUCAAAGUCGGAGCUGUGUUCACUGGCGGAGCUUCAGUAGCGAAGAAGGGCGGGCCAAUAGAAGGAAAAGCCCAAUAGUUUUGCACUCAAGGUCUAGUCUAGUCUAAAUAUCCUACUGCACUUGCUAUGUGCUGGGCGGGCCACGGCCUCUUUUUGCAGCACGUAGCUCCGCCAGUGGCUGCGUUGUCUGGCCGUAGGUGGCUAAGCUUUGGUGCAGAUCUUCAUGCAGCUUAACGCGUUCGCUGCGGUGUGGGUUGAGUCGACGAUCGCCUACGGCGAAGUCGGAGUUGCUUGCUCAGAGUGUAGGGAUGGUGAUGAUGCCUCUAGGGGAGGAGUGAUGACGAUGACGUGUGUGUGUGCUGUCUCGCCGAGGCCCUCUUUGUAGUGGUGUGCGUGGGCUUUCUUAUGUGUGCCGCUCAGCGCGUGUGUUGGUUUUCGCCCGAUUCUUCAUAAUUAACUGGGCAAUCUGGUUCUCAUUCAGUUUUCCCUAAUUAACCGAGCAACUCUUUUCCUUUUAAUGAAUGCAGGAUAACUGUCAUUUCGAAAAAAAACAAUGGGAUCUAACCGCUGGAGAGUUAACUUUUAAUCCAGCUUGCAUGCCCAGGAACUCAUGCAUAAAAUUUGAUUGUUUGAAAACAUGGAUAUACAGUGACCUCAACCGAGAUAACUUACAUCCUUGGGAGCACAUAGUCAUACAUUAUUUUAGUUCAGUUGCACAAAUACAUUUUAUCAGAAAAACCAUGGAAAAAUGUACAACCAGGAGAAAACGAAAAUUAUAUGAUACCGACAUUACACACGACAGGUUGGGCUCCAUAUUCAGAUUAACAAGACGAAGAGAAAUGUCUCGUAUUCCCCUGUGUUCUCACAUCUUUUGAAUUCACAUUCUCCUCAGAACCUCUCUUUGAUCAGCACCUAUUUUUAUGAAAUGAGCUAGUGCUACCAACAUGUGAAGAUAGAGCUAGAUGACUAUUCAGUUGAAGAUGAAAUUGUACAUAUGAGAAGAGAACCUUAUUCAGGCAAGUGAAGGUUAGUGUGGUAUAUAUAAUGAAAGCAUUGUGCACACAAAUAGAGGUUGGUGGUGUAGGUGCAGUACUCUUUACUUUGUGGCACAUGCAAUGCGUGCUUAUCGCGGGAUACAACAUAUCAACACAGCCAUUGACCGGAUGAUUGAAAGAAUGAUAAAGGGUUGAUAAAGCCAUAAAUAUAGCUACCCCCAAAAUCCUCCUCCUAAUUUUUAGUUAGAUGGUUAGUUGUUCAAGUAUACACCUUUCAGCAAUAAUCAACGUGCAAUAUACGGAGUAUAUGUGAGCCACAAAGAAUACACUAUUUUAUAACCUUUCUUCUUCUGAAGCUUUUAUUUUAGACAUGUACCUCUGAUUCUAACUCUUGACGAAUGCUUCUUCUGCAUGAAUUCUACCUCCUCUGCUUCUGCUAACUGCCCCAAGAUUGUUGCGGCCUACUCUUCUAACACCCAGGAUCGUGAGGUAGGCUGAUAUGACGUAGAACGAGAUUUGAUGCAACGCAGUUGUAUUACGGGCAUCUAGUGCCAUAUAUACAAUUAGGGUUAGGGUUUAAGGUUUAGGGUUUAGGAUCAACAUGCAUGGCCCACGUCCUUAUAAACAACCCUAAUAUGGGACUAAUAGAGAGAUAAGGGAGAACAUGGGCUAGAUAACUAUUGUACAUGGCACAUGCGAUAUGUCAUUCAACAUAUUUAUUUAACAUUUCGCAAAAAUAAUAUGAAGUGGGAGUGAAAAUAGAGAGCAUGACAUGAGAAUUCCACAAGGAAAAAGUGGCACCCAAAAAAAGGGUUGGUAAAUUUGCCAUGGACGGCAAGCAAUUUUUGCCAUGGACACAAAUCUACCAAAAGCACUAUUUGUACGAAUGGAAGAAACAGAGCGAAAAAAAAAUUCUCGACUGAAAUCAAAAUUUGUCAUGUCCAUGAGAACAAAUUGUACACUUUGAUUCCUUUGCACGGUGACUAGAAUUGCAGCAACAACACGGGAAACCCCCAACUCCACAGAUCUACGGCGGCCGUAACUGCAAUCGGCGUCUCCGACCAACUAAACUAUGUGGUCAAACCCUACAGUGUCAGCAUACCGAGCAACAAAACAUAGCACAAGAACACGAAAGGGCCUCUGGUGAUGACGCAAACGCCAAAAACAUCACAAAACACGAAACGGACUCCAAGGACGACGCAACCGGCACGAAACCGGUUGUCUCGCCAUUGCCACCGCACGACCAACUCGAGGAUCUUGCGGGCAGAUACAACGGAGAUAACUACACACCUAGCAGAUGCGGGCGGAGGGGAGGGGAAAGUGAGCGUACCUCAUCCUCACGCAGUUGAACAGUGCCGGUGCGGCGGAGUCGAGGGCGACACGGCGACGACUUCCGGCGACCGACACCGACAUGCGAGCCUUUAGCCGCGGAAUCGCCCCAAUCAGAAGAAAGCGAGAGGGGAAAUGAGAGAGACUGAGCGGACUGUUUGGGAGAAAACUGAAGAGAUUCGUACAGCGAAACGGACGAAGAUGAACGCGUUCGCGACGGGAGCCCAACAACCUUACGUAAGAUUUUUUAUAAAUUGAUUCCGGGAGAAAAAUGCUUUAGCAAAACUGAAAAAAAAUACUCCAUCUUCCUCCUCAUUUUCCUCCCAGAUCCGUUUGGUCCGUUCCUCCGUGCUUCCUCGAUUUGAUCCACUCCGUUGCCGCUGGUCUACUAAUCUACUGACCUGGUAACUGAUUUCUUGCCUGGUUCUUGAUUUCUUGAUCGAUUGUUUCAAAGUUCCGUCCUUUUCCCUCACUCGCAAUGCCCUGCCCCUUCUACCCCAGCGAGGAUUAGGGCAUUGGUUGAUCCGGAAUAGAUAGAGUGUGCAGCAAUGGCAACCGCGCCCGCUGAAGUUCUUCCGCCAGCCAAGAGGUGGAAGAAGGACCCCGGUUGCCUGGAAACCUCACCAGUCCUUCUGGCCACGGCGACUGCAGACUGGUCCUCGCUCCCGUACGACAUCGUGGGUCACACACUGUUUUAAAUAGCCCGCUAUAACUCCGCUAUAGCACGCUAUAGCGUUUACAAAGGGUCUUACGCUAAGAGACUUUGGUCCAAACAAAUGAACAAACAUUUUAAAUAGCGCGCUAUAGCUCCGCUAUAGCACGCUAUAGCGUUUCGAAGAGGUCCGCCGCUAAGAUGCUUAGCGCGCUAUUUAAAACUUUGGGGUCACAUCGCCGACUCAUUCCUCGCCACCAACGACCUAGAUUGGUACAUGGAUCUGCGCGCCGUCUGCCACAACUGGCGCUCCGCCACUGACGAUCCCAGGAACAGCAUCUCUGAUUCCCGGUUCCGGCCUCGCCUAUGGAUCGUCCUCGACGAGGUCUUCGAGAGUGACACGCGCCGCCUCUUGGUCAACACCGCCACCGGCCGGUUCCUCCACAAGGAGCUCCCGCUGCUCCGUGACUACUAUGUCGUCACCACCAGUCCCCAUGGUUUAUUCGUCCUGGCCGACAGGAGCCCUCCUCACGCGGCUUGUGUCUUCAACCCUCUCACCGGUGAGAUCAUCCGUUUCACGGCGGCGACUGUGCCGCUCGAGGUUCAGGUCACCGCUGCCGUCUGCUUUGACUUCUCUUCGCCCUUGCUCACAUUGUACUGCCACUCGUGUUGCAAGAUGUACUACAUGACCAGUCCUCACAGCAGUUUUGACACCCUAGACCUAGAGUGCGCGCUUUUGGUUUAUAGUUUUUUCCGGAGGGCGGCCGGAGCUGGUUUGGUUGGUCCUUGGUGGGAUUUACUCAGAACAACUGGCAUGGCUCUCAAGAUCUACGAAGUGGGGCAGUCGCUUUGCGUUGAUCUGUUGAAGUUUUUCUCCGAUGAUCCUACUGAGAUGGGACUUGCAAACGAUGCCCGGUGUUUCCCAAUGGAAUUCCGUGGACAGAAGCUGGUCGCCAUCAAGGGACAACAUUUCUUCCAGGUUUUAAGAUUCGAGAGCGGCGAGCUUUUGUAUGUGAAGAGCAUCUUGAACCAUGCCAUCUUCAUUGGUCAUCAUAGGUGCCUUGUUGUGGAUGCUGAUAUGUUCCCAUUGAUUGAGGCAAACUGUAUCUACUACACCGAACACCACGGGUCGUCUGCUCACAUCUGGAAGUACAAUAUCAAGGACCGGAAAGCUGAGAGGAUCUCGGAAGCUGCCGAUUUUGUGAAGCGGGACAAGCAUUUUCUCCUCAUUGGCAACCGUCCUUUCACGAUCGUCCAGCUUCUGUCAAGCUACACCAUCAGCAUCCGGGAUUCUGAACUGGCCUUGCAGCAGACCACACAAGGCGCUGAUGAACUGCAUGACAUUUGAGCCUAUCGUAUCGUAUGCAUUGCUAAGAAAGGGUUCCUGUUUUAUAGGUUGUUAUUAUUUUGGUUAUGCCUUGAUUUGUUCUGAGCAAGACUCUAGGUGUUAUCUUCUGUGAUGGGAUUACUGUUAGCUAUCUUAAUUAGGACAUGAUAUGUACAUAAUGCUCCACUGCUUAGCUUGAUGCUACUCCCUCUGUAACUUAAUAUAAGGCGUUUUUUGACACUGUCAUAGACUCUAAAAACGUCUUAUAAAAAGUUACAGAGGUAGUAUCUUUCUGCAGUAGAGAAUGUCAGCUCAACCUUUCCCCUUUUUCUAUAUUCAGCUCUGCAACUAAAUCUAUGAUUAUAUGACGUGCCUCAUUGUUCUACGGUAAUUCUGCAACACCUUGUUCUAGGCAAGAAACGGGUUUUACAUUUGCUUACCCGUUGCCUGUGGAACAACUCUAUGCUGCAGGAGGACUUAUAAUGUUCAUCUAUUUCUUAUAGUGCUCCUUGGAGUCUAUGAGUCUAAUAUUUCCUUUUGUAGCUUGUUUGUUGUUGGAUUUUCUGGACACUGCUGCAGAAUGGUAUAACAAAAUUGGUAACACAACUGCUGUUGGGAACUUUGGCUGUGCUUUGCAGCUCGCCAUGGCUGCUAAGAACUUAAGAUUUGUGUUGCUUAUAAAAAUGAUUCAGACACAAUUGGUCGCUGUUUCUAGAUGGAUUUUGUAGAUUCAGCCUUUUCACAUAUUUUUGCUCGAAAGGUGUUCUAUUUUAGCACACAUUUAUAUGUUGUUCCGAGGAUACAGGUGUUGAUUACACUAACAUUAGAUCAUGCCAUAGCAUGAAAUUAAAUUGUGUAGAAUGAUCACUGGCCGGAGAAUCAAGAACUCACAUUUGUACUGAUAAUGCAAGGCAAUAGUAGGCAGGGAGUUGAGAAUAGCAGCUGCAACAUGGAACAUCGACAAGACUGACCAGUGGGUGAGGAUCAUACAUGGAGCGGCAGGUACAGGUACAUCCAUGGGGGUCCAAUGCCUCCUGGAGGGUCUGGGUUCCUGGGUGGCCCUGUUUCUUAGGGGCCUAGGUUUGGUGGCUUCUUCGGGUAGUGGUAAGUUGGAUCUUCAGCUCAGUAAGGAAUUUUUUAAAAACUUUUUGCAAUGCUUGCCAGCGAAAUCAUCAAUUUCAGUUAAUAUCUGAAGCAUACACUAGUUCUUUUGAGAAAGGAAAUCAUACCCUAGUUGUUUAGGUUUCCUCUUCUGAAGCUUUUUUUUCAUCUUGAGGCUGAUAGUUCUGAUUCUCUGAAGGAGUGCUUCGUCUGCAGCUUCUGAGCUACGACAUCAAUGUCCUAGAUUAUCAACUGGCCUUCCAGCUUCUGCUAAUAAGCCGCCGACAAAUCUUCUUUCAAUUGUGAGGAUAGUGAUCUCGAUGACUGACAAAUGUUGAUCCAAUAAGGUUUCAUGUUUUCUCUCUAGCCUUUCCUUUUGUUAAUUUGGUGUGCCUUGACUUGUUCUCUCAAGAAAUGGGCAUGAAUGCAGCGAUGUUUCAUCUAUUUUGGAAGGCUCCCUUGUGUGCACGUUCCAAGAAUGGUCUAACCCUGUAGCACAGCUGUAGCCUACAAGCUUAAGAUGCGCUUUGCGUAUCAAACAUUCCAACAGAUGGCGCAAUUGCCAUUUCUAAGUGGGAUAUUUAGAUUCGGAUACUUACAUAAGUUUUCUGGACAUGUCAGUGCACCCACCUGCAAGGGAGCCCGGGGAAGGGACAUCCCCUCUGUUAUGGCAUGAAUGAAAUGAGUACAGAGUUCUGAAUCUCAUCUCCUGUCUCUCUAUCUGCAUCUCAUUCCCUCUUCUGUGAUUUCCUCUCCAGGGUCAUCACACCCUGGUUCUUGUGUGUGCUGCGUUUGGUGGCUUCUUCUUUGGGACCUGGUAAGUUUGAUCUUCAGCUAACCCAUGAAAACUCGAACCUACCAUCUGGCCACUGUAAUCGUCAAUUCGUUGUUUAACACCUAAAAAAGCAUUUCAUUCAGUUAGGGCAUGGCCAACGCGCCAGGAUGGACGGGUGCUCCAGCAUGCCACCUCGGCUCGGAUAGUUUUGCAUGCCAAAAGGUAGUGCUUGCAGAGCUAGACGGGAUCCUGCAGAGGAGGCUGGUUCUUCCCUGACAAAGGUAUUGCGGCAGCCAAUAAGGAAGGAUAGGACAGCAACCAACAGGACCACAACUACUGUAUUGUAUAUAAAAAGAAAGAGCUGUUGAACCUGGCAACAAUACUGCUGCUUCCAUUGGAUGGAGAUAAAACUAAACUGUGGCUUUAGUUAUUUUUAUCUAUGUGAAAUGCUGGGGCAGUGGUAUGAUGAUGCCUCCAUUGUUCAUGCCCUUAGAUGGUUCAAGGUGUCAAGUUUGCUUUCUUCCUCUGACUCUCCUUUUAGAAAAGAAACCAGUGGUAGGCUGGUACCAGUCAUCUCUGGUUGACAUGCUUACUAAGCAAUCGCUGGACAUCAAUUUUCUUUUACAUCUUCUAUUUUGGACUAUUUCGACACAGCAAUAGGCCUGCUAAUAUUUAAGGACUGAAUGACCGGUCCACGUACGAAUAUCAAAUCAAACAUUAAAUAGAGCUUUGAAAUCUACCCGGUCCAUUUUACAAAUGACAAGGAUGUUGCUAAGAAUUUCCAGGUUGGCCAAGCUUGUCGAUCAUAUAUAUAUAUAUAGGCAUCAUGAUGUUUGGCCACUAAGAAUUUCCCAUCCAUUUUCAGUAUUUAUUGCUUGUUUUUUGGGCUUUUAUCAAGUAAAGGCGUCAUGUGUUUUUCUCUAAAAAAAGGCGUCAUGUGCUUAAUUAAAUUGUAGUACAGCGGGCUAAAUUGAUCGGUCUGAACUACAAGGAUGUGGGACGGAUCCUAAACACGGAUAAAUUGAGGAUCCAAAUGUUAAGUUUGUUCGAGUGAUGUCAAUUUAACUUUUAUAUUAUGUAUUAGUUGUAAACAAAUUUGGGAUGGGCCCAAAAUGCAGCUUAUUGUAGUUAACGCAAAUGCAUAAGAUUUUGUUAUCGGACCACCACCAUACAUGCAUAUUCUCUAAUUAAAAAGGGUUUUAUCAUUUAUGCCACUAGUUCCGUCCCACUACUCGUUUUUGCCAUUAAAAGUUUCAACUGCUCGAAAAUGCCACCCCUCUGUUAGGCGCAUGCUAAAAAGUGCCACUAGACGCCAUAACUAUUAGCUCAAAGUCCGUUUACAAUGUUAUAUGACCAAAAUACUAAUGGAUAAAAAUGUCAGCUCUCCAUCUAUCUCACUACGAUAAAGUUUGGGUCCCACUAAACCACCAAAUGUGUUCUUAUUUUUCUCUAAUACCCAUGGACAAUAUUAUUGCCUCAAUUGUUUCUGUUAAUGUGACAACCAUGGUUCUAUAAUUUGGCAAAUGAUGAUGACGAUUUUUUUGUCAAAACAUAACAACAUGAGAUGUUGUUUUCAAACCCUCAUUGAGAUGAACACAAUGGUGAAGAUGAAUCGCUAAUCAGAUUACCUAAAUCAUUUUGGAUUUAGCAAUUCAUGCUGAUGUGUUCAAUUCUGCAUGCAUCCAAUCUCUUUUUGGAGGAAAAUGACCACUAAAAGAUGCCACACCAUAUGGCAAUGGUGGGGAGUGUCCCAACUAGACUUGCCCUUGAAUCAGACCAUUAAAAGCUUUGAAAUUUUCUCCGGAAAAUUUGGUCCAAUUUUUCAUGACAAGGAUGUUGCUAUCAAUAUCAAAGUUGGCCAUACUAUUGGAUUUGUAUUGAUCCUCCCAUCCAUUUCAGUAUUUAUGAUUAUUUGCCGUUGUACACAGCGAGUUGGAUUAGACCUACUAUGUUAUGCUUGUUUGUGUGCAUCGGUUGUCUCUUGAGAAAAGAUGAUCGAGUUCUCUCUGUCUCCUUUAACGGGUUUUUUUUUCGGGGUGAAAAGAAAUCUCCAUUAAGCUCACGGGGGCUUCAGCCGCAACCAGGUUUACAACAAAGUCCAUACCGGCAGCAAGCCAUAGUGCUGUACGCGGGGUGUUAUGGCCAUAAACGGCCAGCUCAUGACUAACAAUAUUCUGAGAACGGCUACAGUGAAUAAAAGAGAUUUCCCUAGUAGCGAGACUAGCCAUGCUGCGAAUCUCCUCUACUAGUGCACGAUGAACCGAUCUAUCCCGCUGACGUCCUGUAAGCAUGGCCACCGCCUCUGUCGCCUUUAACGGGUUUUUUAGUAGGAUAUUGAAUAGUGGAAACCGAGGCACCAACAUAACAUAGAUAGAAAAUGAAAAUUCAAAACUAGGAGGCAUAUAGAAGAGAUGCUCUCUUUGUUCUAAACCAUUUAAGCUUUAGCUUUAUCCUAACUCAAAAUUCAUUAAGUUUGAUCAAAUAUACAGAAAUAUAUAUAUUGCCGUCUAGAACACCAAAUUAGUCAUCUCGUAAGAUUUUUUUUAUAUAAAACAUAGGGAGACGCUAUGCGUCCGCCAGAUGAUCUGUAUGACACAUCCGCCACCUCGACGGCUGUUCGAUGUACGCGCGCGUAGCCGUCCGAUCUAUUCUGGCGCGCGGCUCGGUCUCCUCCCCCGACCCACUAAUUACUGAAACAACGAUUAAGUUGCAGAAACAAGCGUCUCGCGAGCCAUUCAAUGCGUGACGCGAGCCGUUCAAUCCUCCUCUCUAAUUUCCUGCAACAAUGCUCUUGUUGCAAGAUCUAGUCUUCUCUGAUUUCCUGCAACAAGACCUUGUUGCGAAACCUCAUCUUUUAUAAAUUUCCUGAAACAACAGUCGAGUUGCAGAAACAAGCGUCUAAUUUUCUGUACAUCUUUCACGCGUCUAAUUUUCUGCAACAAGAUCCUUGUUGUCAAAAUUACAACAACAUCUCCCGUUGCGUCCUAUUUUCUGCAACAAGUCCCUUGUUACAAAAAUUAAAAUAAGAUCUCUGCCGCAUUUAAAUUUCUGCAGCAGAACCCAUGCGGGCAUAGGGAGGCGGGGAGAGGAGUAGUUGGAGAGGACAAUCAGGAGAGAAGGACUUGCAGCUCGACGGGCGACGGCGACGUUUAGAGCGCCAUGGAUGGAGAUCUCAGAAACAAAAAGAGUUGUGGCCUGCAGCAGUCCUUGCGGUGGCGGCGGCACGCGACAAAGCGGGAGCAACGACCAGCUUGGCGUGGUGCGUCAGUACGCGGAGCAAUGCUGUGAGAGAGAAAACGCGAGACAGAUUGAGGAAGACGCCGGAGUUGCGUUCGGUGGGGAAAGUAACGAGUGGAUGAGAACCAAAAAGAGUAGAUAAGGAUAUGACCGUGCGAUGCUAUAAUUGUUUGCCAGGGACACGUGUCCGAUGACGGAGGCAGCGGAUGCAAUUGCUGGAUCAGCCGGUUGAUUAGGAUAAUUUCCCUAAAACAUAUCGUUAUGUACUAUGUGUAUUUGGUAUUGUAGCUGGUAGCACAGUUUUAUGAUAUGUGUAUUAGUCAAUCACUACCAAAAGAAAAGGUGAUUGAUGUAAACAUAACUUUCAGGCAAAUUUCCUGCGUGGUGCAAUGCAACUCCUGAAACUGGCCGGGCGAGGUGCCAUUAAAACCAAAGCUAGGUAAUCCAUCGCUUCCCGUCUCCCCAGUUCCCAUUCCCGAUCCAAACAGCAACAAUGGCUGCAAUAUGGAGCCCUCACCAACCUCUUCUCUCCGUGCCCAUCUCUCUCUGCUACUCGCUGCUGUUGGUAACCAGUAGUGCACCUCUCGCUACCGCGCUCUCCUUUAGCUUCAACUUCUCCACCUCCGGGGACCUCUGCAACACGGAGCUCAGGUGCGAGCAUGACACGCUCAUGGACUCCGGCGUGAUCGAGCUCACGAGGAACGAGAUCCACGACUUCUUUAGCGUGGGCCGGGCGUCAUACACGCGUCCGGUGCCGCUCUGGGACAAGGCCACCGGUGAGGUGGCCAGCUUCUCCUCCAACUUCACGUUCCAGAUCAGGCCUGAAAGCGAGAUGAACCAGGUCCAGCUGCGCGACCGAUGUAAGGGCGACGGCAUGGCUUUCUUCCUGUCGCCCUACCCGUCGAAGCUCCCCCCAACAGCUAUGGCAAGAACCUCGCUCUCUUCAAUGACAGCAACAACAUCAGCACCACCGGCGACGACCGCGUGGUGGCGGUGGAGUUCGACACCGUCCUCGGUGACUUCGACGCGAGCAACAGUCGUGUUGGUAUAGACGUCAACUCCAUCAAGUCCAAGGCCUACACGAACGUGACCAGGAGCAUGAUCACCGAUGACGCCAUCAUGGCCGCCGAGGUCAGCUACGACGCCGAGACGGGUGUUCUCGCCGCCCGUCUCCAGAUGGAGGGCGACGAGCCGUACAACGUAAAAUGGACGGUGGACAUGACCACGGCCUUGCCCCAGGACGUUGCGGUUGGCUUCUCGGCGGCAACGGGUAUGUGCAUCGAGCUGCAUCAGGUUCUGUCUUGGUCGUUUACCUCCACUCUAGAUCGCGCCGGUACCAGUUCACGAUGGCGACGACUAGUGGCCGUGAUAGUGUCAUCCGCAGUAGUAGCUUUUGUUGCGUUGCUCUGCGCCGUCGCUGUCAUCCUAGUCCGUCGGCGACGCAUGUGGCAGAGGCUACAUGAUUCCGACGACGAGGAGCAUGAGCAAGCAGAGUUCGAGAGAGGGGUAGGCCCCAGAUGGUACCGCUACGGCGAGCUCGCCGCUGCAACCAAGGACUUCGCCGACGAGGAGAAGCUCGGGCGAGGGGGCUUCGGCAACGUCUAUCGAGGCAGCCUUAGCGACCAAGAUCGCCCCGUAGUUAGCCAUAAACUCUCCAUGGAAUCGUCUGCGCAGGGUAGGCAGGGACGAAGCUAGAAAAAAUGGGUAUUGGUGUCAACCGCUUCCCAGGCUAAGCCGCUAGCAGAAAUUAUAGUGGUGCAACAACAUAGAUAAUGGCCGAGAGCGAUAUAAAAAGCAACAAUAUGUAGGUGAUAUUAUUAUUACAUCUAAAAAAAUCAUACCGAGUAGCGAGUAUUGGCUGAGCAAAGUCAUAAAAUAACACUUCUUUACAUAUUCCGGAAAUAAUAGGCAAAAGAAUGACUUUGGAACGUUUCAUUCGUAACUUUCUGUAAAGGAUGAACAAAAGAACAUAUUAUAUUCACAACAAUAGUAAGAAAGAAAUAGUGCAAAAAAUAAGUAUCGUUAAGGAAAAAAAAGUGAUACGAGACUCACAUUUCAUAACUUUCCUUCUCGAUCUUUCAUCUUCUUAAAUAGAUCAAUCACAUCGUCAUUCGUUAUUGUAGAAAAUAUGUCUUUCUCCACAUAGCAAAUCAAGUGCUGGUCUAACUGGCCUUGAAGGCCCUGCCACAUUACUAUCUAGUGCUGGUCGUUUCCUUUUCAACAAAAAAUUAUCCAUAUCUUCUUGGUCCUGGGCAAAUCAAAGAAAAUAAACUAAAAAAAUUACUUAGCCAAUAGCCAUCAUGAAAGCAAUGCACCUGUAGAAUCGUAGUCUGUAGACAGUCUAGAGAUCGAGAGGCGAGAGAGAAGAUGCAAAUUACCUGGGAUUGGAAGAGCCAACACUUGCAAAUUAAAGAUUAUGCACUGGCGGACGGUCAGCCGAUGUCAACAUUCACCCGAUGAAACGGUGUUGAGUUCGCCGUUGUUCGUCGCCGAUUCGCUGCGGCGGCUGCGGAAUUAGGGUUCGAAAUGAGGAGGCGAAGAGACGAGGGCGUCUGUCUGUUCGCGUACGCGUAUAGCAGCCGGAUAGCGUACAUCGAUUAAUUGAUACAUAGUGCGUACGCAUUGGGCCUGGCCUUGUAUUGUUGUUUGCUGCCGCAGGCUGUUGAUUUCUUUUGGAACUUAAUGGAUUUUAUGGGCUAAGGCUUUAGGGAUUAGCUGGUCUGCUGCUGGGCUGGGGUCAAUGGAAUUUUUGCGCUGGGGUCAUAUAGUUUUUGUUAAUACUAUUAGCUGAAAAGCCAGAAGGCACUGGUGUCAAUUGACACCAGUGAAUACAUGGGAGGGUAGGAGAGAGUUCGACUCGGAGGUGAAGAUCAUCAGCCGGCUGCGGCACCGGAACCUCGUGCAGCUACUGGGCUGGAGCGAUAGCCGCAGAGGGCUCUUGCUCGUCUACGAACUUGUGUCGGAAGGCAGCCUUGACCGACACAUAUACAUCACCACUCUGCUGCUUAGGGCAUGUACAAUGAUGUUAUCUUAGGAGUGCUACGUAGGAUAAAUAAUAAGGUGAAGGAGAGAGAACUCAUAAGAGAAGGCUUGUCUUCUCUUAUUUAAGAUAAGACAAGAGAUGAUCUCUUAGCACAAUAUGUCUUAUCACAUUUUUAGGAAUUGCUAGUUAUUAAAGAUAAGGCUAAGAGAUGACCUAUUGUAGACAUUUUUUUUUGUCAUCUCUAAAUUACAUGCAAAACUUAAGAUAAAACUAUCUUCUUAAUUAUUGUACAUGCCUUUACUUGGCCACAGAGAUACGCACGCACGUACGCAACAAAAUAAUUGAUCAGUAGUACGUCGAUAGAUGUUAUUUGGUAAACGUUUGUGGCCGGACUGCCGGCCCAAGAUUGGGCCGGGUGCUCGCUAGCCUUACGAUCGCUCUCGAUCGUGGGUCGUGAGAACGCUCCUCAAUCAAAUCGUUUUCUUCACGUCGUCUUCUUCUUCCCCACAACACGGGGCAACUGCUCCUUAUAUGCAUCUCCGCCGCCACACGCAGCGUGCAGGCAUGACGAGCCCUUGCUGGUAGGGCGAGCUACAGCGGGGGUGGAGAAGACAACGGCGGGGACAUCUGCAUAGAGGCCGUGCACGACGCACUGGAGACAUCGAUGCAACAAUCACCAUGGAUGUGCCCAUACAGUGAUACAGAGCUUCACCGUUUUUAUCGAAUGCUGCAACCGCUGCGCGAGAUGCUACAUCCGGUGAUGAGGGAUGCUACAACUGAUAAACAUUUUUGCUGGAAUCAAACGGAGACGAUGAUUUUUGCUGCCACCAUCACCAGAUUUUGCUACAACCGGUUAGGUUUUUUUGCUACAUUCAUUCAUGGCUGAGAGCAUCUCCAGCCAUUAACCCCCCAGGAGGCGCGUAAAAUCACCGCCUGGGGGUGAACUGGUGCUAAACCGCGUGUUGGGAUGUGAUGCUCCCCAGUCGCCGCCCCUAUGUUGCAUUUUGUUUUUUUUAACAAAAUCCGGUCCCAUAUUCGCACAAACAAGGCGCAAAUUUAACCAAACUUCAGCGAGUUCAUCAAAUAUUUUACAAAAAAAAGACACUACUAGACCCGCCGUCGCCCUCGCCGUUCCUCGCCGCCCGCCGUCCUGAAGCUCUACAUGCCGAUGAGCCUGUAGAACUGCGUGUAGUCGCCAUCGUCGUCGUCGUCGCCUCCUCCGCAGCCGUCGUCCCUGCUGCUCCCCUGCCUAGGGUCGCCGACGCGGGGUGGGUUGGACGGUCCGGGGGCGUCCUCGUCCUCGUCGCUGUCGAGGAUCACCACGCCGUUCUCGUCCUCGCGCCCACGCUGGCGGGCGGUUAUCUCCUGCAGGGUUUGGCAUUGCCGGACCAUCUCGUCGCGGAGGUAGUCGUCCCGCGCCCACUUUAGGGCGGCCUCGUCGGAGAAGCCAGACCGGGCUAUGGACUCGUACUCCGCGGGGAGGCUGGACUCCACCUUCGGCCUGACGAGCCAGGCAGAGGCGGCAGCUUUGGCAUUGAUUCCCCGUGGGAAACCGAGGUGAUGAGGACGACGAAGCAACGAGAACAGCCGAGUCGCUGCCAAGGAGGGCCCACCGAUUUUCGCGCCAAAAAUGAUUCGGCUGGCGCCCCAAGCACCCCCUCCCCCAACGCGCCGGGUUUGGCCUGGGUCAGCCGGCGCUAAUUUCGGCCCAAGCCGGCGAAAAAGGGCCUUUGAGGGUGCGACUGGGCCGAUUUUUCGGCGCCGGCGGCCAAAAAAAUCUCCCGGGAGGGGGGGGGGCUUGUUGGGGGUGCGGCUGGAGAUGCUCUGAGUUGCGACCCCGCGACAAUGACGACGAUUUUUUGUUGCAACUGUCAUGGAUUUUUGCUACGUCCGACGAAUUAUUUUGCUACGUCCAUUCACGGCAGAGCUGUAAUAAUUCAUGGCGGCGACAUGAUUUUUGCUGCAUGCAUCGUGAUUUUUGCUCUGACUGGCAAUUUUUUUUUGCUAUGUCCAUUCUUGGCGAGCUGCGACCCGCGGCGACUCCGAUAGCACUGCUGUGAUGACGAACGGCUGCCCGGGGACGACGACGACGACGCCACAGCAGUUGCGAGGCUGCAACCCGCGGAUGAGGAUUUUUCAUGCUGGAACCGGUGAGGAGUCGUGCUACAAACUAAGCUCCAUGGGUCAAUUUUUUUCAAAGCGUGAUGAGAAGGUUGUGUGAGGGUGGCGAGCGGCGGCGAGCCCGGGGUGUGUGGCGGUGCUUCGGACUCGGUCGCUCGUAGGGGUUGACAGCGCUGCAGUGUCCUCUCGCUCCGAUGUGCAGCCCUGCAGUUUUUUCAGGAAGGCGGUUGAGAAGGAAAAAGCGAGGAGACACAUUUGAUGGCUAGCAAUUUUUUUUAAAGGCAAAGCAAUAGCUUUAUAAUUUAACGGUGCUUGGGCAGAUCGCCCAUUGCACAUUCAGCCACACAGGUUGGUACAUCAUCCUCCCAUUCAACAUAUAGGUUCGGGUCAUACAGACGACCGACUGCGGCUAACUCGUGGGCUACAGUGUUAGCAGCGCGCCUACAGACGGAAAUUACAUGAUAGGAAAACCACAAUUUCAACCGGUAUUUAGUGUCCUCUAUCACUGCUGCAUAUGCCGACGAACCCGCCUUCUGCAUUACAGGUGCUUCGAAUAGCAGUUGCGAAUCCGUCUGGAAUUCCACCCGAAUAAGACCAAGAUCGGCAGCAAGCGAGACGGCCUGAGACAUUGCAAAAGCUUCAGCUACAAAUGGAUCAUUGACAUUUGCCUGGCAGCCAGCACGGGCACGGAUGAUCUUGCCUUCUGAAGUUCUCGCCACCACGCCCCAGCCUGCUUGGUUUGUCCCUGGGAGAAAAGAACCAUCAAUGUUAAUUUUCACCAUAUCACCCGCAGGAGGGCUCCAUUUGUCCACCACUUUCUUCUCCAGUUGAGGGCUAAGGAUUUCGAUAUACUCGAGGACAUUGCUUCUGGUCCUCCUAGCAAUCUCCUUGCCCGGCGUCGGCAGCUCCCCCUCCCUUAGCUUGUUGCGAUUUGACCACCAGAGCCACCAAAAGGUGAGCAGGUCAACCGGCCAAACCGUUCCGCCGGUGCGCCGGCGUAGAGUAGUGCCCAUAUUCUUUUGGUUGAAUUAAUAACACGCACGGAUGCAGAUACAAGAUUAUCCUUGGUCUGGGAUCUGCACUGCGCUAUCUCCACACGAAGUAGGAUCAGUGCGUGCUGCAUGGCGAUAUCAAGCCCAGCAACAUACUUUUCGACUCGUCACGCGGCACCAAACUAGCGGAUUUCGGGCUGACGAGACUGGUGGAGCAUGGAGCCGGGCCUCGGACGAGCAGUCAUGGGCACCUUGGGAUACAUAGACCCGGAGUUCAUCCGCAUGCGUCGGCCGAGCGCUGAGUCCGACGUCUACAGCUUCGGCAUCGUCCUGCUGGAGAUUGUGUCGGGCCAGCGGCCGCAGAUGGAGGCGGAACAAUCAUCUGACAAGGCCAUCCCGCUGCUCAAGUGGAUCUGGGAGCUGCAUGAGAAGGGCGCCGUCGUCCAAGCGGUGGAUGGGAGGCUCAAGGGAGACGAGCAGCACGACGACGGGCACGGCUGCAGGUGGCAACCGUGCCGCACACUGCUCGUCGGGCUCUGGUGCACGCACCCGCGCCCCAGCGCGCGGUCGUCCGUCGAGCAGGCCAUGAGCGCCCUGCAGUCCGAGGACGUGGCGCUGCCGGCCCUGUCACGGCCGCCGCCCGACGUCUCCCCUGGAUCACAUGGCUACAGCUCGUCGUCGACCAAUGUUGUUUGCAGCGAUGUGUCCUGGGCCAGCAGUGGCAGAUGACGAGAUUUAAUUGAUGCAGCCUCGCUGUUGCAGCUUAUUAUGAUGCCUGCACAAACCUGCCCAUAGAAUUUAUCAAGACAUUGUUGUUUAAGUUCUACGUACGUAUAGUAUUGAUUGCAUUCUGUUGUCUCACAUGUAUAUUCUACUCCACAUGUAGGUUUAUCUAAGACCCCACAUAUAUAUGUUUUUGUUUAACUUCAGUUUUUGCUGGUCCCUAAAAUACGUUUCCAAAUGCCACUAUCAUCGUUUUAAGCAUCGUGUACAAUCACACAUAGCUAUCUCGAGUUGUCGAAUGUCGCACACGCGGCGGGGCGCGUCCACGGACAGUGACCGGUCACCCCAUAUUUGGUCUCCCACAACCAUAGUAUCCAUAUCAUGAUCCAUACAAAAAACAUGCAACGGCAUGCGUUCUCCUCGUUGAAGAUGUUGGUGAAGUUCAUGCCAGAGCGGUUGGCCUCAUGGUCAUUGGCGGCUCCUCCUCCUCCUUUCCUCCUCGUCGCCAAAGAUCUCCUUGAACUCCGUGUCCGCCUCGCGGAGGAUGCGGCGGUUGGCCUCCACCUUCGUCUCGGACUGGAUGGCUUCGAGGAUGGGCUCCUACUCCACCGGCUCCUACACUUGAGCCACCUCGAACUCCUCCAGCGCGUCGCCCAUGGCGAAGGCUGCAGCCGGAGGCACCGGAUUAGCCUCGCUUUUGGCCUUCACUAGUAGAAAAAGGCGCAUUAGUCCCGGUUCUAGAGGGCAUUUAGUCCCGGUCCUGAAAGCGGGACUAAAGGGUCGGUACUAAAGNNNNNNNNNNNNNNNNNNNNNNNNNNNNNNNNNNNNNNNNNNNNNNNNNNNNNNNNNNNNNNNNNNNNNNNNNNNNNNNNNNNNNNNNNNNNNNNNNNNNNNNNNNNNNNNNNNNNNNNNNNNNNNNNNNNNNNNNNNNNNNNNNNNNNNNNNNNNNNNNNNNNNNNNNNNNNNNNNNNNNNNNNNNNNNNNNNNNNNNNNNNNNNNNNNNNNNNNNNNNNNNGGUUCUGUUACGAACCGGGACUAAAGGCCCUUCACGUGGCCGCUGUCCAACCGGGACUAAAGGAAAUUUUACGAUUUUUUUUUUAUUUUUUUAUUUUCAAAUUUCUGAAUUAUUUUACAAUUUAAUCUCUAAUCACCCCUCAUCACUGCUCAAUUUAACCUCUAAUCUCUAAUCACCCCUCAUCAUUCCAAAUCAUCCAACUUCCCGGCCGAUCACCCAUCCUCUCACUACUCCAGCCUGAGCACGCUUAACUUCCGGGUUCUAUCCCCCCUCGUUUUCAAGUCUGCACUUGUUGUUUUCCUAACAAUAGUAAGAUGUCAAUCGUAUUAACCCUCAGGAGUUUAGCUUAAGCAUGCAUGAAGUCACACGUUUCACUGUUUGAGUUUGAAACUAUUAUUCUAAAAAACAAUAAUUAUUUAGUAACACUAAUAUUUCUUGAAUAAGUAGUUUGACCAUUGUUUGACCACAGUUUGAUCAGAUUUGACCAAAAUUCAAAAAAAUGAAAUAAUUAUUUAGUAACAGUAAUAUUCUUGAAUAAUUAUUUAGUAACACUAAUACUUCUUUAAUAAGUAGUUUGAGCAUAGUUUAACCUGAUUUAACCAAAAUUCAGAAAAACUAAAAUUUGAGCAUUUUUUUCCUUUAAGAAUUUGAGGAUUCUAAAAAUUUGCAAACAGGUCGUAGAUGCGGAUUUUCGUGCUGAACAUUUUGAUAUAUUAUACGUUUUUUCCGACAUCGUAUGCAAAAGCUAUAGCCGUUUUACUUUUUCAUAACACUUUUUUGCAAAACAUGUCCAAAUUUAAGUUUUUUAAUUUUCCUAACUAGUAGAUGUAGUAAUAUAAUUACAUAUCGAAGGAUUUUAUUUUUUGAAGUUUUUAUCAUUUUCUUUUGUUUUUUUGAAAACUAAAAUCGCGAUACAACGGGGGGAGGGGGGUAGAGUUUGAGAAAUGGUGCCCUUUAGUCCCGGUUUGAGACACAAACCGGGACUAAAGGGUGCGAUGUGCUUUAGUCCCGGUUCGUGUCUCAAACCGGGACUAAAGGGCCCAUAUGAACCGGGACUAAUGCCUUUAGCCACUCGAACCGGGACUAAUGCUCACAUUAGUCCUGGUUUUGUAAUGCAACCGGGACUAAUGUGUAUAUUGCGCUGUGACCAAAGUCCUAUUUUCUACUAGUGCCCUUCCUCCUCUGCCACCUCUAGUGAAUCCGGAGGCAGGCCGAUUGCGAUCCAAACUUCGUGCCUGGCCCGGAUAUCCUCUAGUCCGAAGUGAGAAAGCCGUAGAUGGUUAUCCUUUGUUAGGUGAUACGUCUCCAACGUAUCUAUAAUUUAUGAAGUAUUCAUGCUAUUAUAUUAUCUGUUUUGGAUGUUUAUGGGCUUUACUAAACACUUUUAUAUUAUUUUUAGGACUAACCUAUUAACCGGAGGCCCAACCCAAAUUGUUGUUUUCUUGCCUAUUUCAGUGUUUCAAAUAAAAGGAAUAUCAAACAGAGUCCAAACGGAAUGAAACCUUGGGGAGAGUUAUUUUUGAAACGGAAGCAAUCCAGGAGACCUAUAGUAGACGUCAGGGAAGCUUCGAGGAAGCCACGAGGCAGGGAGGUGCGCCCUACCCUCCUAGGCACGCCCCCACCCUCGUGGGCCCCUCGUGGUUCCCCUGACCGACUUCUUUCGUCUAUAUAUGUCCAUAUACCCUAAAAACAUCGAGAAGCAGAAUAGAUCGGGAGUUCCGCCGCCAGAAGCCUCCGUAGCCACCGAAAACCAAUCUAGACCUGUUCCGGCACCCUGCCGGAGGGGGGAAUCCCUCUCCGGUGGCCAUCUUCAUCAUCCCAGCACUCUCCAUGACGAGGAGGGGGUAGUUCACCCUCGGGGCUGAGGGUAUUACCAGUAGCUAUGUGUUUGAUCUCUCUCUCGUGUUCUUGAGGUGGUACGAUCUUAAUGUAUCGCGAGCUUUGUUAUGAUAGUUGGAUCUUAUGAUGUUUCUCCCCCUCUAAUCUCUUGUGGUGAAUUGAGUUUUCCUUUGAAGUUAUCUUAUCGGAUUGAGUCUUUAAGGAUUUGAGAACACUUGAUGUAUGUCUUGCACGUGCUUAUCUGUGGUGACAAUGGGAUAUCAUGUGAUCCACUUGAUGUAUGUUUUGGUGAUCAACUUGUGAGUUCCGUGACCUCGUGAACUUAUGCAUAGGGGUUGGCACACGUUUUCGUCUUGACUCUUCGGUAGAAACUUUGGGGCACUCUUUGAAGUUCUUUGUGUUGGUUGAAUAGAUGAAUCUGAGAUUGUGUGAUGCAUAUCGUACAAUCAUACCCAUGGAUACUUGAGGUGACAUUGAAGUAUCUAGGUGACAUUAGGGUUUUGGUUGAUUUGUGUUUUAAGGUGUUAUUCUAGUACGAACUCUAGGAUAGAUUGAACGGAAAGAAUAGCUUCGUGUUAUUUUACUAUGGACUCUUGAAUAGAUCAAUCAGAAAGAAUAACUUUGAGGUGGUUUCGUACCCUACCAUAAUCUCUUCGUUCGUUCUCCGCUAUUAGUGACUUUGGAGUGACUCUUUGUUGCAUGUUGAGGGAUAGUUAUAUGAUCCAAUUAUGUUAUUACUGUUGAGAGAACUUGCAGUAGUGAAAGUAUGAACCCUAGGCCUUGUGUGACGCCCCCGAUUUGACCGUACACUAAUCAUUCACGCAAAUGUGUAUGAUCAAGAUCAGGGACUCACGGGAAGAUAUCACAACACAACUCUACAAAUAAAAUAAGUCAUACAAGCAUCAUAUUACAAGCCAGGGGGCUCGAGGGCUCGAAUACAAGAGCUCGAUCAUAGACGAGUCAGCAGAAGCAACAAUAUCUGAGUACAGACAUAAGUUAAACAAGUUUUCCUUAAGAAGGCUAGCACAAACUGGGAUACAGAUCGAAAGAGGCGAAGGCCACCUGCCUGGGAUCCUCCUAAUCUACUCCUGGUCGUCGUCAGCGGGCUGCACGUAGUAGUAGGCACCUCCAGUGUAGUAGGAGUCGUCGUCGAUGGUGGCGUCUGGCUCCUGGGCUCCAUCGUCUGGUCAUAGCAAUCGAGUAUAGAAAGGGGAAAAAGGGGGAGCAAAGCAACCAUGAGUACUCAUCCAAAGUACUCGCAAGCAAGGAGCUACACUACAUAUGUAUGCAUUGGUAUCAAAUGGAAAAGAGGUAUCAUAUGUGGACUGAACUGCAGAAUGCCGGAAUAAGAGGGGGGAUAGCUAGUCCUAUCAAAGACUAUGCUUCUGGCAACCUCCAUCUUGCAGCAUGUAGAAGAAAGUCGACGAUAAGUUCACCAAGUAUCAUCGCAUAGCAUAAUCCUACCCGGUGAUCCUCUCCUCGUCGCCCUGUUAGAGAGCGAUCACUGGGUUGUAUCUGGCACUUGGAAGGGUGUGUUUUAUUAAGUAUCCGGUUCGAGUUGUCAUAAGGUCAAGGUACAACUCCAAGUUGUCAUGUUACCGAAGAUCAUGACUAUUCGAAUAGAUAAACUUCCCUGCAGGGGUGCACCACAUUUCCCAACAUGCUCGAUCCCCUUUGUCCGGACACACUUGUCGGGGUCAUGCCCGGCCUCGGAAGAUCAACACGUCGCAGCCCUACCUAGGCACAAAAGAGAGGUCAGCACACCGGUCUAAAUCCUAUGGCGCAGGGGUCUGGGCCCAUCGCCCAUUGCACACCUGCACGUUGCGUACGCGGCCGUGAGCAGACCUGGCAACCUCCAUUACAAAGGAAGUUACGUUACGCGUUCCAACUCGGCGCGCGCCGCUCAGUCGCUAACGUCACAAAGGCUUCGGCUGAUACCACGAUGUCGAGUGCCCAUAACAGUCCCCACGUAGUUGGUUAGUGUGUAUAGGCCAGUAGCAAGACUCGGAUCAAAUACCCAGAUCUCGUUAAGUGUGUUAUUUUGAAGUAACCGCGAACGCCGACCAGGGCCAGGCCCACCUCUCUCCUAGGUGGUCUCAACCUGCCAUGUCGCUCCGCCACAAAGUAACAGUCAGGGGUCGUCAGGAACCCAGGCCCACCUCUACCGGGAUGGAGCCACCUGUCCUUUCAGCCCCCUCAUCAGAAUCACUUGCGGGUACUCAACGAGCCGACCCGACUUUAGUCACCACCUGUAUAGUAUGUAUAUAUGUAUGUAAAUACCCGUGAUCACCUCCCGAGUGAUCACGGCCUGAUAGUAUAGCACGGCAGAUAGACAAGAAUGUAGGGCCACUGACGAUAAACUAGCAUCCUAUACUAAGCAUUUAGGAUUGCAGGUAAGGUAUUAACAGUUGUAGCAACAAUGACAGGCUAUGCAUCAAAAUAGGAUUAACGGAAAGUAGUAACAUGCUACACUACUAUAAUGCAAGCAGUAUAGAGAAGAGUAGGCGAUAUCUGGUGAUCAGGGGGGGCUUGCCUGGUUGCUCUGGCAAGAGAGAGGGGUCGUCAACACCGUAGUCGUACUGGGUAGCAGUGGCAUCGGUCUCGGUGUCUAGCGAGAGAAGAGGGGGAGAAACAAUAAAUAUUAAGCAAACAGAUGCAUAGCGAUGCAUGACAUGACAAGUAGCGGUGCUAGGGGUGCCCUAACGCGGUAUGAGGUGGUACCGGUGAAGGGGGAAACAUCCGAGAAAAUAUCCCCGGUGUUUCGCGUUUCCGGACAGAUAAACCGGAGGGGGAAAGUUGCGUGUUCGCUAUGCUAGGGAUGCGUGGCGGACGAACGGGCUACGUAUCCGGGUUCGUCUCGUCGUUCUGAGCAACUUUCAUGUAGAAAAUAUUUUCAUCUGAGCUACGAUUUAUUUUAUAUGAUUUUCUAAAGUUUUAAAUCAUUUUUAGAUUUUAUUUAAUUUAUUUAAUUCAACAUUAUCCACAAUAGUGUUCGCUGAUGUCAUCAUAACGUCAGCAGUCAACAGAGGUGUUGACUGGUCAAACUGACGUGUGGGUCCUGCUUGUCAUUAACUGUCUAAUUAUUUAAUAGUUGUUAAUUAGGUUAAUUAGUUAUUAUGUUAAUUAAUCUUAAUUAGUUAAUUUAAAUAGAAUUAAUUAAGUUAAUUAUUUAGUUAGUUAAUUGAUUAUUUAGUAUUUAAUUUUAUUUAGUAUUAUUUUUUUAAAUCGUUCUCGGGCGCUGGGGCCCCCUUGUCAUUUGCCCUAGGGGCCAACCGGGGCGGCUGCGGCUUAACGGGCAGCGAGCGCGGGUGUAACGGGCAACGGGCGCCCGUAGCCUGCCCGGGGCGGGGCGUGGCUGUGGCCACGAUGGGGGUUGCCGUAGCGGGGCACGAGGGCCACGAUGGGCGGAGGCGGGGCGAGCGGCGAACGCCGUGCGGGGCCGCCGUGGAGCGGCAGCAACGCAGCAGCCAGCCACAGCACGGGCGCGAGCGCACGAGGUGACACGUCGGGCGGGGCGAGGUCGCGAUGACCGGGCGGAGCAGCGGCGAGGAGGGCAAGGCCAGGUGCGGCCAGAGCGCGGGGCAGCGGGACGACGCAGGCGACGAGCUUGGACGCGACCGGGGGCAUGAGCGGGGUAGCAGGGCAAGUGCGGCAGCAGCAGGAGAUGCAGCAUGCAAGGGGAGCGAGUAGCCAGAGCGGGGACCGAACCGGGCGGCGGCUACGGUGAGCGCGCACGGGGCGCGGCCAGGUGCUACGAGGCGACGGGAGAGGAGGACCGGGGUGGGCUCAGGGAGGAGCCAAGGAGGUCCGGCGAGGCGGCACCGGCGACGGAGAGGAGGCAGUCCAGCGGGAUCCGGCAACGGCGCGGUCGUGGAUGGGGCGACGAGGCCCCGGUCGACGACGUCGAAGUGGCGGGGCGCCGCCUCUGGUCGGGGAGGCGACGGGCGUCAGUGGUCAGUGAGGUGGCGGGAUCGGCAACGGGGACGCAGGGGCGAGCGUCGGGGUUGGCCCUGGUGUCCGAUCCGAUCCAGACGGGAACAUGGGAGAGAGGGGGUGGGGUAGUGGGUGGAUUAGGGUUUAGGGAGUGGGGGUGGCCUAAGUAGGCCAGGGGGUGGGCCGGCAGGCCACUCGGCCACACGACCAACUAGGCCAAGACCCAGUCGGUGGGGAGGGGUAAAGUUGUUUUCCUUUCCUUUUAUUUUUGUUUUAUUUUAUAUUUCUGUUUUAUUGUUUUUAUUUAAGUUUCCUUUUGAAUUUGGUUUUAUAAACUACACCACUGGUUCCUAAUUUAGUUUUAAUAAGUGUGCCACUGCUCCAAAAGUUUUUGGCAAUAAAACAAAUAGUUUAAUAUUUUAUCAAAUUGAAAAGGGUAGUUAGUUAAAUGUUUUGCUGCUGUUUUAAAUAUUUUAGUGCACCUAAACCUUUUAUAAAAUUGGCGCUUCUCCAUAAUAAUUACCUAUGCAUUAUUUGGCAAUGAUACGUCUCCAACGUAUCUAUAAUUUUUGAUUGCUCCAUGCUAUAUUAUCUACUGUUUUGGACUAUAUUGGGCUUUAUUUUCCACUUUUAUAUUAUUUUUGGGACUAACCUAUUAAUCGGAGGCCCAGGCCAGAAUUGCUGUUUUUUUGCCUAUUUCAGUGUUUUGGAUAAAUAGAAUAUCAAACGGAGUCCAAACGGAAUAAAAUCUUCGAAAACGUGAUUUUCUCACCGAACGUGAUCCAGGAGACUUGGACCCUACUGCAAGGGAUCAAAGAGGUGGUCACGAGGGUGGGGGGCGGCCCCCCUAGGGCGCGCCCCAAUGCCUCGUGGGCCCCUCGGUGCUCCACCGACAUACUCCUUCCUCCUAUAUAUACACAUGUACCCCCAAACGAUCAGAACAGGAGCCAAAACCCUAAUUCCACCGCCGCAACUUUCUGUAUCCACGAGAUCCCAUCUUAGGGCCUGUUCCGGAGCUCCGCCGGAAGAGGGUCGUCAUCACGGAGGGCUUCUACAUCAUCCUAGCCCCUCCGAGGAAGUGUGAGUAGUUUACCUCAGACCUUCAGGUCCAUAGUUAGUAGCUAGAUGGCUUCUUCUCUCUCUUUGAAUCUCAAUACAAAGUUCUCCGCCUCUCUCAUGGAGAUCUAUUCGAUGUAAUCUUCUUUUUGCGGUGUGUUUGCUGAGACCAAUGAAUUGUGGGUUUAUGAUCAAGUCUAUCUAUGAAUAAUAUUUGAAUCUUCUCUGAAUUCUUUUAUGCAUGAUUGGUUUUCUUUGCAAGUCUCUUCGAAUUAUCCAUUUGGUUUGGCCAACUAGAUUGGUAGUUCUUGCCAUGGGAGAAGUGCUUAGCUUUGGGUUCGAUCUUGCGGUGUCCUUACCCAGUGACAGAAGGGGCAGCAAGGCACAUAUUGUAUCGUUGCCAUCGAGGAUAACAAGAUGGGGUUUAUUUCAUAUUGCAUGAAUUUAUCUCUCUACAUCAUGUCAUCUUGCUUAAGGCGUUACUCUGUUUUUAACUUAAUACUCUAGAUGCAUGCUGGAUAGCGGUCGAUGAGUGGAGUAAUAGUAGUAUAUGCAGAAUCGUUUCGAUUUACUUGUCACAGACGUGAUGCCUAUAUACAUGAUCAUGUCUAGAUAUUCUCAUAAUUAUGCACAAUUCUAUCAAUUGCUCAACAGUAAUUUGUUCACCCACCGUAGAAUACUUAUGCUCUUGAGAGAAGCCACUAGUGAAACCUAUGGCCCCCGGGUCUAUUCUCACAAUAUCAAUCUCCAUCACUUUUAUAUUGCUUUGCUAUUUACUUUGCUUUUACUUUUUACUUUGCAUCUUUAUAUGAAAAAUACCAAAAAUAUUCUAUCUAUCAGAUCUCACUCUCGUAAGUGACCGUGAAGGGCUUGACAACCCCUAAUCGCAUUGGUUGCGAGUAGCUAUCGCUUUGUGCAGGUACGAGGGACUUGAGCGUGGGCUCCUACUGGAUUGAUACCUUGGUUCUCAAAAACUGAGGGAAAUACUUACGCUACUCUACUGCAUCAUCCCUUCCUCUUCGGGGAAAACCAACGCAAGCUCAAGACGUAGCAAGAAGGAUUUCUGGCGCCGUUGCUGGGGAGUCUACGCAAAAAGUCAAUAUACCGAGUACUCAUCACAAUCCCUAUCUCUCGCAUUACAUUAUUUGCCAUUUGCCUCUCGUUUUCCUCUCCCCCAAUUCACCCUUGUCGUUUUAUUCGCCCUCUCUCUCCAUCCUCCCUCUCUAUUUGCCUCUUUUUUUCCGCUUGCUUUUUGUUUGCCCGUGUGUUAGAUUGCUUGUUUGUCGUGAUGGCUCAAUAUGCUACCAAAUUGUGUGACUUCACCAAUACCAAUAAUAAUGAUUUCCUUAGCACUCCGAUUGCUCCUCUUACUGAUGCUGAAUCUUGUGAAAUUAAUACUGCUUCGUUGAAUCUUGUUAAGAAAGAUCAAUUCGCCAGCCUUCCUAGUGAAGAUGCCACUACUCAUCUGAAUAGCUUCGUUGAUUUAUGUGGCAUGCAAAAGAAAAAAGAUGUCAAUAGUGAUGUCGUUAAAUUGAAGCUAUUUCCUUUUUCGCUUGGAGAUUGUGCUAAAGCUUGGUUUUCAUCUUUGCCUAAGAAUAGUAUUGAUUCAUGGAACAAAUGCAAAGAUGCUUUUAUCUCUAAGUAUUUUCCUCCCGCUAAGAUCAUCUCUCUUAGAAAUGAUAUAAUGAACUUUAAACAACUUGAUCAUGAACAUGUUGCAAAAGCUUGGGAGAGAAUGAAAUUAAUCAUACGUAAUUGCCCUACUCAUGGUUUGAAUUUGUGGAUAAUUAUACAAAAAAUUUAUGCUGGAUUGAAUUUUGCUUCUAGAAAUCUUUUAGAUUCGGCCGCGGGAGGCACUUUUAUGGAAAUCACUUUAGGAGAUGCUACUAAGCUCCUAGAUAAUAUUAUGGUUAAUUAUUCUCAAUGGCAUACUGAAAGAACUUCUAAUAAAAAAGUGCAUGCGAUAGAAGAAAUUAAUGUGUUGAGUGGAAAGAUGGAUGAACUUAUGAAAUUAUUUGCUACUAAGAGUGUUUCUUCUGAUCCUAAUGAUAUGCCUUUGUCUACUUUGAUUGAGAAUAAUAAUGAAUCUAUGGAUGUGAAUUUUGUUGGUAGGAAUAAUUUUGGUAAGAACGCUUAUAGAGGGAAUUUUAAUCCUAGGCCAUAUCCUAGUAAUCCUUCUAAUAAUUAUGGGAAUUCCUACAACAACUCUUAUGGAAAUUAUAAUAAGAUGCCCUCUGAUUUUGAAUCUAAUAUUAAAGAAUUUAUUUCUUCGCAAAAGAAUUUUAAUGCUAUGAUUGAAGAAAAAUUGCUUAAGAUUGAUGAUUUGGCUAGGAACGUUGAUAGAAUUGCUCUUGAUGUUGAUGCUUUGAAACUUAGAUCUAUUCCACCUAAGCAUGAUAUUAAUGACUCUCUAAAAGCCAUGAGAAUUUCAAUUGAUGAGUGUAAAGAAAGAGACGCUAGGAUGCGUGCUUCCAAAGAUGACUUUAUUAAAGCUUGUUCUUCCAAUACCUAUGAAAAUCAAGAUGAAGAUCUAAAAGUUAUUGAUGUGUCUCUAAUUAAAUCUUUAUUUUGCAAUAUGAAUCUUUAUGAAACUGAAUAUGAUCUUCCUUUACCUAGAAGGCGUUCUAAAAAUUCGGAGUGUUUAGAUCUUAAUGAUGAAAUUGAUGAAAAAGUGGGAUUGAAAGAAAUAAAAAUCUAGAUGUUGCUAAACCCACUAUAUUGGAUUUCAAGGAAUUUAAUUAUGAAAAUUGCUCUUUGAUUGAUUGUAUUUCCUUGUUGCAAUCCGUGCUAAAUUCUCCACAUGCUUAUAGUCGAAAUAAAGCCUUCACCGAACAUAUUGUUGAUGCCUUGAUGCAAUCUUAUGAAGAAAAACUUGAGCUGAAAGUUUCUAUCCCUAGAAAACUCUAUGAUGAGUGGGAACCAACUAUUAAAAUUAAAAUUAAAGAUCAUGAGUUUUAUGCUUUGUGUGAUUUGGGUGCUAGUGUCUCUUCUAUUCCCAAGACUUUGUGUGAUUAAUUAGAUUUCCGUAAUUUUGAUGAUUGCUCUCUAAACUUGCGUCUUGCAGAUUCCACUAUUAAGAAACCUAUGGUAAGAAUUAAUGAUUUUCUUAUUGUUGCAAAUAGGAAUUAUGUGCCCAUAGAUUUCAUUGUUCUUGAUAUAGAUUGCAAUCCUUCUUGCCCUAUUAUUCUUGGUAGACCUUUCCUUAGAACGGUUGGUGCGAUUAUUGAUAUGAAGGAAGGGAAUAUUAGAUUUCAAUUUCCAUUAAAAAAGGGCAUGGAACACUUUCCAAGAAAAAAAAUAAAAUUACCAUAUGAAACUAUCAUGAGAGCCACUUAUGGAUUACAUACCAAAGAUGGCAAUACCUAGAUCUAUCCUUUUUUGUUAUGCCUAGCUAGGGGCGUUAAACGAUAGCGCUUGUUGGGAGGCAACCCAAUUUUAUUUUUAUUCCUUGAUUUUUGCUCCUGUUUAGUAAUAAAUAAAUUAUUUAUCCUCUGUUUUGGUUGUGUUUUUUGUGUUUAAUUAGUGUUUGUGCCAAGUAGAACCGUUGGGAAGACUUGGGGAAAGUCUUGUUGAACUUGCUGUAAAAAACAGAAACUUUAGCGCUCACGAGAACUGCUGUCAUUUUUAUUUGAAGAGCGCUAUUUAGUUAAUUCUUUUUGAAGAUGAUUAAUAGAUAAAUUCCUCACGUCCAGCAAUUUAUUUUAGAAUUUUUUGGGUUCCAGAUCUUGCGCUAGCUACAGAUUACUACAUACUGUUCUGUUUUUGACAGAUUUUGUUUUUCGUGUGUUGUUUGCUUAUUUUGAUGAAUCUAUGGCUAGUAAAAUAGUUUAUAAUCAAUAGAGAAGUUGGAAUACAGUAGGUUUAACACCAAUAUAAAUAAAGAAUAAGUUCAUUACAGUACCUUGAAGUGGUCUUUUGUUUUCUUUCGCUAAUGGAGCUCACGAGUUUUCUAUUUUGAGUUUUGUGUUGUGAAGUUUUCAAGUUUUGGGUGAAUUCUUUUGAUGGAUCAUGGAACAAGGAGUGGCAAGAGCCUAAGCUUGGGGAUGCCCAUGGCACCCCCAAGAUAAUCCAAGGACACCAAAAAGUCAAAGCUUGGGGAUGCCCCGGAAGGCAUCCCCUCUUUCGUCCACUUCCAUCGGUAAUUUACUUGGAGCUAUAUUUUUAUUCACCAACAUGAUAUGUGUUUUGCUUGGAGCGUCUUGUAUUAUUUGUGUCUUUGUUUGUUAGUAUGCCACAAUCAUCCUUGCUGUACACACCUUUUGAGAGAGCCAUACAUGAAUUAAAAUUUGAUAGAAUGCUCUAUGUGCUUCACUUAUAUCUUUUGAGCUAGAUAAUUUUGCUCUAUGUGCUUCACUUAUAUCCUUUGAGCUAGAUAAUUUUGCUCUAUGUGCUUCACUUAUAUCCUUUGAGCUAGAUAAUUUUGCUCUAUGUGCUUCACUUAUAUCCUUUGAGCUAGAUAAUUUUGCUCUAUGUGCUUCACUUAGAUCUUUUAGAGCACGGUGGUGGAUAUGUUUUAAAGAAACUAUUGAUCUCUCAUGCUUCACUUAAAUUAAUUUGAGAGUCUCUUAAUAGCAUGGUAAUUUGCCUAAUAAUAAUAUGCUUGGUAUUCAAGAUUUGUGAAACUUUCUUUUGAGUGUGUUGAAUACUAAGAAAAGAUUGAAGCAUGAUAAUUGUUUUAAGAUAUGGAGGUGAUAAUAUUGAAGUCAUGCUAGUUGAGUAGUUGUGAAUUUAAAGAAUACUUGUGCUGAAAUUUGUGAUUCCCGUAGCAUGCACGUAUGGUGAACCGUUAUGUGAUGAAUUCGGAGCAUGAUUUAUUUAUUGAUUGUCUUCCUUAUGAGUGGCGGCCGGGGACGAGCGAUGGUCUUUUCCUACCAAUCUAUCCCCCUAGGAGCAUGCGCAUAAUACUUUGCUUUGAUAACUUCUAAAUUUUUGCAAUAAGUAUAUGAGUUCUUUAUGACUAAUGUUGAGUCCAUGGAUUAUACGCACUCCCACCCUUCCACCCUUGCUAGCAUCUCUAAUACCGCGCAACUUUCGCCGGUAUCAUACACCUACCAUAUACCUCCCUCAAAACAGCCACCAUACCUACCUAUUAUGGCAUUUCCAUAGCCAUUCCGAGAUAUAUUGUCAUGCAACUUUCCACCAUCUAGUUCAUCAUGACAUAUCCAUCAUUGUCAUAUUGCUUAGCAUGAUCAUGUAUUUGACAUAGUAUUUGUGGUAAAGCCACCGUUCAUAAUUCUUUCAUACUUUUCACUCGUGAUUCAUUGCAUAUCCCGGUACACCGCCGGAGGCAUUCAUAUAGAGUCAUACUUUGUUUUAGUAUCGAGUUGUAAUCAUUGAGUUGUAAAUAAAUAGAAGUGUGAUGAUCAUCAUUCAAUAGAGCAUUGACCAAAAAAAAGGCCAAAGAAAAAAAAGGAAGGCCUAAAAAAAGGGGUAAUGCUACUAUCCUUCUUUUUCAUACUUGUGCUUCAAAGUAGCACCAUGGUAUAGCAAGUCUCAUAUAUUGUGCUUCAAAGUAGCACCAUGUUCUUCAUAUAGAGAGUCUCAUAUGUUGUCACUUUCAUAUACUAGAGGGAAUUUGAUGUUAUAGAACUUGGCUUGUAUAUUCCAAUGAUGGGAUUCCUCAAAUUGCCCUAGGUCUUCGUGAGCAAGCAAGUUGGAUGCACACCCACUAGUUCCUUUUGAUUGGGCUUUCACACAUUUAUAGCUCUAGUGCAUCCGUUGCAUGGCAAUCCCUACUCACUCACAUUAUAUCUAUUGAUGGGCAUCUCCAUGGCCCAUUGAUACGCCUAGUUGAUGUGAGACUAUCUUCUCCUUUUUGUCUUCUCCACAACCACGAUUCUAUUCCACCUAUAGUGCUAUAUCCAUGGCUCACGCUCAUGUAUUGCGUGAAGAUUGAAUUUUUUUUGAAAAAGUUAGAGUAUGAAACAAUUGAUUGGCUUGCCAUCGGGGUUGUGCAUGAUGUAAAUACUCUGUGUGGGGAAGAUGGGGCAUAGCCAGACUAUAUGAUUUGGUAGGGAUAACUUUCUUUGGCCAUGUUAUUUUGAGAAGACAUAAUUGCUUUGUUAGUAUUCUUGAAGUAUUAUUUUCUAUGUCAAUAUAAAAUUUUGUCUUCAAUCUUUCUAAUCUGAAUAUUCAUACCAUAAUUAAGAAGAUUUACAUUGAAAUUAUGCCAAGUAGCACUCUGCAUCAAAAAUUCUCUUUUUAUCAUUUACCUACUCGAGGACGAGCAGGAAUUAAGCUUGGGGAUGCCUGAUACAUCUCCAACGUAUCUAUAAUUUUUGAUUGCUCCAUGCUAUAUUAUCUACUGUUUUGGACUAUAUUGGGCUUUAUUUUCCACUUUUAUAUUAUUUUUGGGACUAACCUAUUAACCGGAGGCCCAGCCCAGAAUUGCUGCUUUUUGCCUAUUUAAGUGUUUCGGAUAAAAAGAAUAUCAAACAGAGUCCAAACGGAAUAAAAUCUUCGGAAACGUGAUUUUCUCACCGAACGUGAUCCAGGAGACUUGGACCCUACAGCAAGGGAUCAAGGAGGUGGUCACGUGGGUGGGGGGCGGCCCCCCUAGGGCGCGCCCCAAUGCCUCGUGGGCCCCUCAGUGCUCCACCGAUGUACUCCUUCCUCCUAUAUAUACACACGUACCCCCAAACGAUCAGAACAGGAGCCAAAACCUUAAUUCCACCGCCGCAACUUUCUGUAUCCACGAGAUCCCAUCUUAGGGCCUGUUCCGGAGCUCCGUCGGAAGAGGGCCGUCAUCACGGAGGGCUUCUACAUCAUCCUAGCCCCUCCGAUGAAAUGUGAGUAGUUUACCUCAGACCUUCGGGUCGAUAGUUAGUAGCUAGAUGGCUUCUUCUCUCUCUCUUUGAAUCUCAAUACAAAGUUCUCCCCCUCUCUUGUGGAGAUCUAUUCGAUGUAAUCUUCUUUUUGCAGUGUGUUUGUUGAGACCGAUGAAUUGUGGGUUUAUGAUCAAGUCUAUCUAUGAAUAAUAUUUGAAUCUUCUCUGAAUUCUUUUAUGCAUGAUUGGUUAUCUUUGCAAGUCUCUUCGAAUUAUCCGUUUGGUUUGGCCAACUAGAUUGGUAGUUCUUGCCAUGGGAGAAGUGCUUAGCUUUGGGUUCGAUCCUGCGGUGUCCUUACCCAGUGACAGAAGGGGCAGCAAGUCACGUAUUGUAUCAUUGCCAUCGAGGAUAACAAGAUGGGGUUUAUUUCAUAUUGCAUGAAUUUAUCUCUCUACAUCAUGUCAUCUUGCUUAAGGCGUUACUCUGUUUUUAACUUAAUACUCUAGAUGCAUGCUGGAUAGCGGUCGAUGAGUGGAGUAAUAGUAGUAGAUGCAGAAUCAUUUCGAUCUACUUGUCACGGACAUGAUGCCUAUAUACAUGAUCAUGCCUAGAUAUUCUCAUAAUUAUGCACAAUUCUAUCAAUUGCUCAACAGUAAUUUGUUAACCCACCGUAGAAUACUUAUGCUCUUGAGAGAAGCCACUAGUGAAACCUAUGGCCCCCGGGUCUAUUCUCAUAAAAUCAAUCUCCAUCACUUUUAUAUUGCUUUGCUAUUUACUUUGCUUUUACUUUUUACUUUGCAUUUACUUUUUACUUUGCAUCUUUAUAUCAAAAAUACCAAAAAUAUUCUAUCUAUCAGAUCUCACUCUCGUAAGUGACCGUGAAGGGCUUGACAACCCCUAAUCGCGUUGGUUGCGAGUAGCUAUCGCUUUGUGCAGGUACGAGGGACUUGAGCGUGGGCUCCUACUGGAUUGAUACCUUGGUUCUCAAAAACUGAGGGAAAUACUUACGCUACUCUGCUGCAUCAUCCCUUCCUCUUCGGGGAAAACCAACGCAAGCUCACGACGUAGCAGGCAACACUCCAACAUUUUAGUUGUAAUAUUUGAAAAUAUUUUAUUGUUUGCUUGAUUUUGAAUUUGAAUUCGAACCGGUUUCGAACUAACGCGAGAUUAGCAACAGUAAUCGAGGUGACGUGGCAUCAUUAACGUGGGAUUAAUGUAGCCUAAUUAUCCGGGCGUCACAAUUCUCCUCCACUACAAGAAAUCUCAUCCUGAGAUUUAAGAGGUAGUGAAAAGGGGGAAGGUUUAGUUACGAAAUUCUAAUGGAUCUUCUCGGCCUUGGUUACUCUUCUCGAAGAGGUCGAUCCAUUAAGUUGAUGCAUUUAUUCCUCUUCUCCAGGUCAUCAUGAUGAAGUUGCCUUCCUUCCUUCAGGAUCUUCACCGUACUUACGAAAGGUUAAGAGGGGAAAACUCUAUAAGGACGGAUUCUAAUAGGAUUGAGCAUCAGACGGUUAACUCGGGGGAAGAAGCAUAAGUAUCUCUCGAAUUGAAACUUAAGAAGAUAUCGAGAGCAAAGUAAGAAGGUACCAUGAGAAGUUUCAAAUGGAUAGGCAAUGGUUUGAUGUCUAAAACCAAGUGUGGAAGGGGUACAGAGCAACGAGAUUAAGUAUUGCGUCUGUUAUGAAAAUAGAUCACUAGGAAGGUGGGCCGUGAAUUACAUACGAGGCCACGCGCGAGGAACAACCUUGGGAACAGGGGGUGUACAGGAGAGUCAGGUUUUGAUCUCGUGGAACUGUGGGUUAUGGGCCCACCAUGUGGGUUAAAAGUAGGAAGAGGGGUGACGUCUUGCACGAUCAUGUAAGCAAGGCAUGUCAGAGAAUAACCGUCCAGUUAUGUUGGCAGCAUCGUUGGUACCAAGGGCGAGGGACGAAGAGAACUAUUUUCCUGCUCGUUGAAACAAGGCGGACCAAUAGGCAAAGUUCUCAUCCAUCGGUGGUUACUGAAAUGUCAUCAACAAUAGUAACACAGUCUUACUGACACAGUUGUACACCAAGGUGUUUACAUAAGCAGAGAAUAUUACUACUUAGGUCAUAUAGAUCACAAGGAAGGUUAAACAAAUCAAUGGAAGGAAAAUGUGAUCAUCAGAUCAAACAGAACAAUGGAAAGGAAAAAGUGUUUGACACAUAUACCAGGGGUAUACCCUUCCCAAGGAUAAGCAGAGCAUGAUAUCCAUGACAGGAUAUAAUGUAGAAAACUUUUUAGGUAGAGGAGAGAAAUUUUAUGACAUUACCCAUACAACGGUGUUUGGAUAAUUGAGCAGGAAACAUUUAGCAUUGGGCUUCAAAUGUUCUUGUUGAAAAUUGGAGUACCAUAGACAUGCUUCGAGAUAGCAUUGACAUGGUCUUCAAGCAAAGGUCAUACUUUGGAUACACAAAGGAUUCAUCGGGAACAACCUAUAUAAUAAGUCUUACAGUUUCCACAUGGAAGAAUGGAUACCAUUGCUAAAGGGAACUAUAACAAUAGGGCCUCUGGCCAGGUGGGCUAGGUAUGACACCACCUUACCGGGUCAUAUAAAGAUCAUCGUUAUAACUCUUGGAACUAUGUUACAACCAUCAUAUCAGACUGAGAUUCAGAUCUGAUUGGUGUCAGGAUACCACAGACUCAGGAUGCCUGAGAAAGGAAAGGUGCAACGCAAUUGACGAGAUGACAUUAUAAGAUUCUCGGGCAAUGAACUAUGGAAGCAAGUUCUGAAAUAAGAGUUCAUCAUUAAAACCAAUGAGAGGAUGAAAAGGUGGCUGAUGGACUCAUCGACAAUUCAUCGAGGUUUCCAAAAAGAUGGAUUCCCACAAUUACGAGAGUAAGGAGAAAACAUUUGUCAGAUCAAAUGUUAUAUUGAUGUAUGCUCGAGGAAAACAUACACAAUUAAACAUUGGUUAAAAGGGGUACGCGAGAUAUGGGUUUAGGUAGCAUGAUCAAUGCUAGUAUGGUGAUUCAAUAAAUAAUAGUCUAAGAAUGAACUGUUGACCAUUAACUCCAAAGCAAUAGGGUUGAUAGAAGUUUUGAAGUCGCACAUUGAUACGUCUCCAACGUAUCUAUAAUUUUUGAUUGCUCCAUGCUAUAUUAUCUACUGUUUUGGACUAUAUUGGGCUUUAUUUUCCACUUUUAUAUUAUUUUUGGGACUAACCUAUUAACCGGAGGCCCAGCCCAGAAUUGCUGUUUUUUGCCUAUUUCAGUGUUUCGAAGAAACGGAAUAUCAAACGGAGUCCAAACGGAAUAAACCUUUUUGGAACGUGAUUUUCUUCCCGAAUAUGACCCAGGAGACUUGAACCCUACGCCAAGGAAGCUUCGAGGUGGGCACGAGGUAGGGGGCGCGCCCUAUACCCCCAGGCGCGCCCCCACCCUCGUGGGCCCACCGAAGCUCCACCGACGUACUUCUUCCUCCUAUAUAUACCUACGUACCCCCAAACGAACAAAGACGGAGCCAAAAACCUAAUUCCACCGCCGCAACUUUCUGUAUCCACGAGAUCCCAUCUUGGGGCCUGUUUCGGAGCUUCGCCGGAGAGGGCCGUCAUCACGGAGGGCUUCUACAUCAUCAUAGCCUCUCCGAUGAAGUAUGAGUAGUUUACCUCAGACCUUCGGGGCCAUAGUUAGUAGCUAGAUGGCUUCUUCUCUCUUUUUGGAUCUCAAUACAAAGUUCUCCCCCUCUCUUGGGGAGAUCUAUUCGAUGUAAUCUUCUUCUUUUUUGCGGUGUGUUUGUUGAGACCGAUGAAUUGUGGGUUUAUGAUCAAGUCUAUCUAUGAAUAAUAUUUGAAUCUUCUCUGAAUUCUUUUAUGUAUGAUUGGUUAUCUUUGCAAGUCUCUUCGAAUUAUCAGUUUGGUUUGGCCUACUAGAUUGGUUUUUCUUGCCAUGGGAGAAGUGCUUAGCUUUGGGUUCGAUCUUGCGUGUCCUUUCCCAGUGACAGAAGGGGCAGCAAGGCACGUAUUGCAUCGUUGCCAUUGAGGAUAACAAGAUGGGGUUUUUUCAUAUUGCAUGAAUUUAUCUCUCUACAUCAUGUCCUCUUGCUUAAAGCGUUACUCUGUUUUUAACUUAAUACUCUAGAUGCAUGCUGGAUAGCGGUCGAUGAGUGGAGUAAUAGUAGUAGAUGCAGAAUCGUCUCGGUCUACUUGUCACGGACAUGAUGCCUAUAUACAUGAUCAUGCCUAGAUAUUCUCAUAAUUAUGCUCAAUUCUGUCAAUUGCUCAACAGUAAUUUGUUCACCCACCGUAGAAUACUUAUGCUCUUGAGAGAAGCCACUAGUGAAACCUAUGGCCCCCGGGUCUAUUCUCAUCAUAUCAAACUCCAUCACUUUAAUCUUGCUUUGCUUUUUACUUUGCCUUUUACUUUUCACUUUGCAUCUCUAUACCAAAAAUACCAAAAAUAUUAUAUCUAUCAGAUCUCACUCUCGUAAGUGACCGUGAAGCGAUUGACAACCCCUAAUCGCGUUGGUUGCGAGUAGCUACCAUUUUGUGCAGGUACGAGGGACUUGAGCGUGGCCUCCUACUUGAUUGAUACCUUGGUUCUCAAAAACUGAGGGAAAUACUUACGCUACUCUGCUGCAUCAUCCUUUCCUCUUCGAGGAAAUCCAACGCAAGCUCAAGAGGUAGCAAGAAGAAUUUCUGGCGCCGUUGCCGGGGAGUCUACGCAAAAAGUCAACAUACCAAGUACCCAUCACAAUCCCUAUCUCUCGCAUUACAUUAGUUGCCAUUUGCCUCUCGUUUUCCUCUCCCCCACUUCACCCUUGCCAUUUUAUUUGCCCUCUCUUUCUCAAUCUCCUUCUCCUUCUCUUUCUCCGUUUGCCUUUUUCUCGCUUGCCCUUUUGUUUGCUCGUGUGUUGGAUUGCUUAUUUGUCGCGAUGGCUCAAUCGAGAUUUGGUGAUCUUCACCUUAAAAGGUUAGAGGAGAUCGAAAGCAAUGUUAGGAAGUUUACAAUUUUGCAAUUUGAGCAUAAUAAUUUCUUUAGAAACGGGCUUAAGGAACAAAAAAGUUUUAUGAGUUAUAUGAAUAAAGAGCUUGAUGAUAUGUCUAAACAAUUUGAUGAUAUAAGAUCCCAAAUUGCUCGUCUAGAAAAGAUGACUGCUGAAAUUUUGGAUAUGCAAGCCACAUUAGUCAAUAAGAUGGCCGCUAAACCGAAUUCCUAUGAAAAUCAAGAUGAAGAUCUAAAAGUUAUUGAUGUGUCUCCUAUUAAAUCUUUGUUUUGCAAUAUGAAUCUUGAUGAAACUGAAUAUGAUUUUCCUUUACCUAGAAGGCGUUCUAAAAAUUCGGAGUAUUUAGAUCUUUAUGAUGAAAUUGAUGAAAGUGGGAUUGAAAGAAAUAAAAAUCUAGGUUGCUAAACCCACUAUAUUGGAUUUCAAGGAAUUUAAUUAUGAAAGUUGCUCUUUAAUUGAUUGUAUUUCCUUGUUGCAAUCCGUGCUAAAUUCUCCACAUGCUUAUAGUCAAAAGAAAGCCUUCACCGAACAUUUUGUUGAUGCCUUGAUGCAAUCCUAUGAAGAAAAACUUGAGUUGAAAGUUUCUAUCCCUAGAAAACUCUAUGAUGAGUGGGAACCAACUAUUAAAAUUAAAAUUAAAGAUCAUGAGUUUUAUGCUUUAUGUGAUUUGGGUGCUAGUGUCUCCACUAUCCCCAAAACUUUGUGUGAUUUGCUAGAUUUCCGCGAUUUUGAUGAUUGCUCUCUAAACUUGCAUCUUGCGGAUCCUACUAUUAACAAACCUAUGGGAAGGAUUAAUGAUGUUCUUAUUGUUGCAAAUAGGAAUUAUGUGCCCGUAGAUUUCAUUGUUCUUGAUAUAGAUCGCAAUUCUUCUUGCCCUAUUAUUCUUGGUAGACCUUUCCUUAGAACGGUUGGUGCGAUUAUUGAUAUGAAGGAAGGGAAUGUUAGAUUUCAAUUUCCAUUAAAAAAGGGCAUGGAACACUUUCCAAGAAAGAAAAUAAAAUUGCCAUAUGAAACUAUCAUGAGAGCCACUUAUGGAUUGCCUACCAAAGAUGGCAAUACCUAGAUCUAUCCUUGCUUUUAUGCCUAGCUAGGGGCGUUAAAUGAUAGCAUUUGUUGGGAGGCAACCCAAUUUUAUUUUUAGUUUUUUGUGUUUUUCUUCUGUUAGGGAAUAAAUAACCCAUCUGCCUUCUGUUUGGAUGUGGUUUUGUGUUUUAAUUAGUGUUUGUGCAAGUUAGACCUAUUGGAUCUUCUUGGAUGAUAGUUAUUUGAUCUUGCUGUAAUUUCCAGAAACUUUGCGUUCAGUGGCCGAAUUGUUAAAACUCAACAGAAGGCGAUAAAAUACUGAUUCGAAUUGCUGCUGAUCAAUAAACAAAUUUUCUAGGUCGUACAAUUUUGGUAGAUUUUUUGGAGUUCCAGAAGUUUGCGUUAUUUACAGAUUACUACAGAAUGUUCUGUUUUUGACAGAUUCUGUUUUUUGUGUGUUGUUUGCUUAUUUUGAUGAAUCUAUGGUUAGUAAAAUAGUUUAUAAUCCAUAGAGAAGUUGGAAUACAGUAGGUUUAACACCAAUAUAAAUAAAGAAUAAGUUCAUUACAGUACCUUGAAGUGGUCUUUUGUUUUCUUUCGCUAAUGGAGCUCACGAGUUUUCUAUUUUGAGUUUUGUGUUGUGAAGUUUUCAAGUUUUGGGUGAAUUCUUUUGAUGGAUCAUGGAACAAGGAGUGGCAAGAGCCUAAGCUUGGGGAUGCCCAUGGCACCCCCAAGAUAAUCCAAGGACACCAAAAAGUCAAAGCUUGGGGAUGCCCCGGAAGGCAUCCCCUCUUUCGUCCACUUCCAUCGGUAAUUUACUUGGAGCUAUAUUUUUAUUCACCAACAUGAUAUGUGUUUUGCUUGGAGCGUCUUGUAUUAUUUGUGUCUUUGGUUGUUAGUGUGCCACAAUCAUCCUUGCUGUACACACCUUUUGAGAGAGCCAUACAUGAAUUAAAAUUUGAUAGAAUGCUCUAUGUGCUUCACUUAUAUCUUUUUGAGCUAAGUAGUUUUGCUCUAUGUGCUUCAUUUAUAUCUUUUGAGCGCUAUAAUUUUGCUCUAUUCGCUUCACUUAGAUCUUUUAGAGCACGGUGGUGGAUUUGUUUUAAAGAAACUAUUGAUCUCUCAUGCUUCACUUAAAUUAUUUUGAGAGUCUUAAUAGCAUGGUAAUUUUCUUAAUAAUAACAUGCUUGGUAUUCAAGAUUUGUGAAACUUUCUUUUGAGUGUGUUGAAUACUAAGAAAAGUUGGAUGCUUGAUAAUUGUUUUGAGAUAUGGAGGUAGUAAUAUCAAAGUCAUGCUAGUAGAGUAAUUGUGAAUUUGAGAAGUGCUUGAGUUAAAGUUUGCAAGUCCCGUAGCAUGCACGUAUGGUAAACGUUAUGCAACAAAUUUGAAACAUGAGGUGUUAUUUGAUUGUCCUCCUUAUGAGUGGCGGUCGGGGAUGAGCGAUGGUCUUUUCCUACCAAUCUAUCACCCUAGGAGCAUGCACGUAAUACUUUGGUUUUUGAUGGCUUGUAGAUUUUUGCAAUAAGUAUAUGAGUUCUUUAUGACUAAUGUUGAGUCCAUGGAUUAUACGCACUCUCACCCUUCCAUGAUUGCUAGCCUCUACGGUACCGUGCAUUGCCCUUUCUCACAUCGAUAGUUGGUGCAAAAUUCGCCAGUGCAUCCAAACCCUGUGAUAUGAUACGCUCUUUCACACAUAAACCUCCUUAUAUCUUCCUCAAAACAGCCACCAUACCUACCUAUUAUGGCAUUUCCAUAGCCAUUCUGAGAUAUAUUGCCAUCCAACUUUCCACCAUCCAGUUUAUCAUGACACAUUCAUCAUUGUCAUAUUGCUUAGCAUGAUCAUGUAGUUGACAUAGUAUUUGUGGCAAAGCCACCGUUCAUAAUUUUUUUCAUACUUGUCACUCUUGAUUCAUUGCAUAUCCCGGUACACCGUCGGAGGCAUCCAUAUAGAGUCAUACUUUGUUCUAGUAUCGAGUUGUAAUCAUUGAGUUGUAAAUAAAUAGAAGUGUGAUGAUCAUCAUUCAAUAGAGCAUUGUCCCAAAAAAAAAGAGAAAGGCCAAAGAAAAAAAAGAAGGCCCAAAAAAGAGAAAAUAAAUAAAAAGGGGCAAUGCUACUAUCCUUUUUUUCCACACUUGUGCUUCAAAGUAGCACCAUGUUCUUCAUCUAGAGAGUCUCUUGAGUUAUCACUUUCAUAUACUAGUGGGAAUUUUCAUUAUAGAACUUGGCUUGUAUAUUCCAACAAUGGGCCUCCACAAGUGCCCUAGGUCUUCGUGAGCAAGCAAGUUGUAUGCACACCCACUUAGUUUCUUUUGUUGAGCUUUCAUACAUUUAUAGCUCUAGUGCAUCCGUUGCAUGGCAAUCCCUACUCCUUGCAUUAACAUCAAUCGAUGGGCAUCUCCAUAGCCCAUUGAUUACCCUCGUUGAUGUGAGACUUUCUCCUUUUUGUCUUCUCCACAUAACCCCCAUCAUUAUAUUCUAUUCCACUCAUAGUGCUAUAUCCAUGGCUCACGCUCAUGUAUUGCGUGAAAGUUUAUGAGUUUGAAAUUAUUAAGGUAUGAAACAAUUUCUUGGCUUGUCAUCGGGGUUGUGCAUGAUGAGAGCAUUCUUGUGCGACGAAAAUGGAGCAUGACUAAACUAUAUGAUUUUGUAGGGAUGAACUUUCUUUGGCCAUGUUACUUUAAGAAAACAUAAUUGCUUUGUUGGUUUGCUUGAAGUAUUAUUAUUCUCUACGUCAAUAUGAACUUUUGUCUUGAAUCUUCCUAAUCUGAAUAUUCAUACCACAAUUAAGAAGAUUUGCAUUGAAAUUAUGCCAAGUAGCACUCCGCAUCAAAAAUUCUCUUUUUAUCAUUUACGUACUCGCGGACAAGCAGGAAUUAAGCUUGGGGAUGCCUGAUACGUCUCCAACGUAUCAAUAAUUUUUGAUUGUUGCAUGCUAUAUUAUCUACUGUUUUGGACUAUAUUGGGCUUCAUUUUCCACUUUUAUAUUAUUUUUGGGACUACCCUAUUAACCGGAGGCCAAGCCCAGAAUUGCUGUUUUUUUGCCUAUUUCAGUGUUUCGGAUAAACAGAAUAUCAAACGGAGUCCAAACGGAAUAAAAUCUUCGUAAACGUGAUUUUCUCACCGAACGUGGUCUAGGAGACUUGGACCCUACCGCAAGGGAUCAAAGAGGUGGUCACGAGGGUGGGGGGCGCGCCCCCCCUAGGGCGCGCCCCCUGCCUCGUGGGCCCCUCGGUGCUCCACCGACGUACUCCUUCCUCCUAUAUAUACACACGUACCUCCAAACGAUCAGAACAGGAGCCAAAAACCUAAUUCCACCACCGCAACUUUCUGUAUCCACGAGAUCCCAUCUUGGGGCCUGCUCCGGAGCUCCACCGGAGAGGGCCGUCAUCAUGGAGGGCUUCCACAUCAUCAUAGCCUCUCCGAUGAAGUGUGAGUAGUUUACCUCAGACCUUUGGGUCCAUAGUUAGUAGCUAGAUGGCUUCUUCUCUCUUUUUGGCUCUCAAUACAAAGUUCUCCCCCUCUCUUGUGGAGAUCUAUUCGAUGUAAUCUUCUUCUUUUUUGCGGUGUGUUUAUUGUGACUGAUGAAUUAUGGGUUUAUGAUCAAGUCUAUAUAUGAAUAAUAUUUGAAUCUUCUCUGAAUUCUUUUAUGUAUGAUUGGUUAUCUUUGCAAGUCCCUUCGAAUUAUCAGUUUGGUUUGGCCUACUAGAUUGGUUUUUGUUGCCAUGGGAGAAGUGCUUAGCUUUGGGUUCGAUCUUUCGGUGUCCUUUCCCAGUGACAGAAGGGGCAGCAAGGCACGUAUUGCAUCGUUGCCAUCGAGGAUAACAAGAUGGGGUUUAUUUCAUAUUGCAUGAAUUUAUCUCUCUACAUCAUGUCAUCUUGCUUAAAGCGUUACUCUGUUUUUAACUUAAUACUCUAGAUGCAUGCUGGAUAGCGGUCGAUGAGUGGAGUAAUAGUAGUAGAUGCAGAAUUGUUUCGGUCUACUUGUCACAGACGUGAUGCCUAUAUACAUGAUCAUGCCUAGAUAUUCUCAUAAUUAUGCUCAAUUCUGUCAAUUGCUCAAUAGUAAUUUGUUCACCCACCGUAGAAUACUUAUGCUCUUGAGAGAAGCCACUAGUGAAACCUAUGGCCCCCGGGUCUAUUCACAUCAUAUCAAUCUCCAUCACUUUAAUCUUGCUUUGCUUUUUACUUUGCCUUUUACUUUUCACUUUGCAUCUCUAUACCAAAAAUACCAAAAAUAUUAUAUCUAUCAGAUCUCACUCUCGUAAGUGACCGUGAAGGGAUUGACAACCCCUAAUCGCGUUGGUUGCGAGUAGCUAUCAUUUUGUGCAGGUACGAGGGACUUGAGUGUGGCCUCCUACUGGAUUGAUACCUUGGUUCUCAAAAACUGAGGGAAAUACUUACGCUACUCUGCUGCAUCAUCCUUUCCUCUUCGGGGAAAUCCAACGCAAGCUCAAGAGGUAGCACACAUCAUAGUUCAAUUGUCAGUUUUCCGGUUACAAACAUCACAGGGACCAAGGAAUGAACGGAUAUGGCAAUAAGUAUCACCUAUAUCAAGAAUUCUUAAGAGGUGGUGAAAUUCUCACGACAUUCUUGACAUAAAAGAUGGUAAUACUCCAAGGUAAGGAACAAAUGCUGGAUAGCAAGGAUCUCAAGGUAUAUAAUGAAACACGAACUAGUUUGUGUUGAACAGAAGGCAAUAAAGUGGUCGAUGAUAACACAAAUCAUCAAGGGCAAGGAUGGUAUUUCUCAUCAUGAAUUCAAUUGAUGUCCUGGAAGGAGUCAAAAUGUUGAUGAUGAUCACGGCAAUUUGUUGUCGAGAGGAUCCACGAAGAAGCAAUUGAAUAGCGACUGCAUCAAGCAAAAGGACUGAUGCUACAAAAGAUUAUUGGAGCCACGGAUACGAUACAAACUCGAAAUCAAGCUUACUGUUUUUAUGGCGAAAUUAUAUGAGGAGGGAGAUCGACUUAAGGUUAGCUCAUCAUCGAAAAUUGUGCUCCGAAAAGGAGGACCAAGUAGCACAGUUAAAAUCAUCAUGAUAAAGAUAUAGCCAAGCAGGCUAGGAAUGACAUGAUCGGGUACAAACUCGUAAGUACAGAAGAUUACUUAGAGUUGUUGAACCGUAAUGUGGGCUCGGUUCAGUUACCAGUGUCCUUGAAUGUUUAAAAUCUCAGAGCCCGUGAAAAUUGGGAUCAGUGAGGAUGUAGUACUUGAUGAAGAACUCAUAAGAGGUUAUGCAGUUCCGUAAUAAUCUCGAGAUACCAGGGGGUAAUACUAGACAACAGAUCAAAGUAGAGGUUGGGCUGGGGUAUUUCUAUGCAGAAGACAAGUGCUUAAACUUGCAUAGGAAAUGGUAUUUAAAGGAGAACAUGGUCGGAACCAUGAUUGCAAAAGGCCAGAUCCCAUAUAUAAUAUGAACUUAUGCUGAGGGAAUAAUUAACUUAACAGAAGCUUUAAUGAUAAGAUCUACAUCGUGUCCAUGGGCAUGAACACAGGGUUCAAGGUCGACUCCCACUUGUUCAACGCAUAACCAUUCAUUCACCUCUCGUAUUUCAAAAAAUGACACUAUGCUACGUCUUGAGCUUGCGUUGGUUUUCCCCGAAGAGGAAGGGAUGAUGCAGCAGAGUAGCAUCAGUAUUUCCCUCAGUUUUUGAGAACCAAGGUAUCAAUCCAGUAGGAGCCCACGCUCAAGUCCCUCGUAGCUGCACAAAGCGAUAGCUACUCGCAACCAACGCGAUUAGGGGUUGUCAAGCCCUUCACGGUCACUUACGAGAGUGAGAUCUGAUAGAUAGAAUAUUUUUGGUAUUUUUGAUAUAAAUAAGCAAAGUAAAAAUUAAAAGCAAAGUAAAUAGCAAAAUAAUAUAAAAGUGAUGGAGAUUGAUAUGAUGAGAAUAGACCCGGGGGCCAUAGGUUUCACUAGUGGCUUCUCUCAAGAGCAUAAGUAUUCUAUGGUGGGUGAACAAAUUACUGUUGAGCAAUUGAUAGAAUUGAGCAUAAUUAUGAGAAUAUCUAGGCAUGAUCAUGUAUAUAGGCAUCACGUCCAUGACAAGUAGACCGAAACGAUUCUGCAUCUACUACUAUUACUCCACUCAUCGACCGCUAUCCAGCAUGCAUCUAGAGUAUUAAGUUGAAAACAGAGUAAAGCCUUAAGCAAGAUGACAUGAUGUAGAGAGAUAAAUUCAUGCAAUAUGAAAUAAACCCCAUCUUGUUAACCUCGAUGGCAACGAUACAAUACGUGCCUUGCUGCCCCUUCUGUCACUCGGUAAGGACAUCGCAAGAUCGAACCCAAAGCUAAGCACUUCUCCCAUGGCAAGAACUACCAAUCUAGUUGGCCAAACCAAACGGAUAAUUCGAAGAGACUUGCAAAGAUAACCAAUCAUGCAUAAAAGAAUUCAGAGAAGAUUCAAAUAUUAUUCAUAGAUAGACUUGAUCAUAAACCCACAAUUCAUCGGUCUCAACAAACAUACCGCAAAAAGAAGAUUACAUCGAAUAGAUCUCCACAAGAGAGGGGGGGAACUUUGCAUUGAGAUUCAAAGAGAGAGAAGAAGCCAUCUAGCUACUAACUAUGGACCCGAAGGUCUGAGGUAAACUACUCACACUUCAUCGGAGGGGCUAGGAUGAUGUAGAAGCCCUCCGUGAUGACGGCCCUCUUCCGGCGGAGCACCGGAACAAGCCCCAAGAUGGGAUCUCGUGGAUACAGAAAGUUGCGGCGGCGGAAUUAGGUUUUUGGCUCCUGUUCUGAUCGUUUGGUUGUACGUGUGUAUAUAUAGGAGGAAGCAGUAUGUCGGUGGAGCACCGAGGGGCCCACGAGGCAGGGGGCGCGCCCCCCACCCUCGUGACCACCUCUUUGAUCCCUUACGGUAGGGUCCAAGUCUCCUGGAUCACGUUCGGUGAGAAAAUCACAUUUCCGAAGAUUUUAUUCCGUUUGGACUCCGUUUGAUAUUCUGUUUAUCCGAAACACUGAAAUAGGCAAAAAAAACAGCAAUUCUGGGCUUGGCCUCCGGUUAAUAGGUUAGUCCCAAAAAUAAUAUAAAAGUGGAAAAUAAAGCCCAAUAUAGUCCAAAACAGUAGAUAAUAUAGCAUGGAGCAAUCAAAAAUUAUAGAUACAUUGGAGACGUAUCAGGCAUCCCCAAGCUUAAUUCCUGCUUGUCCUCGAGUAGGUAAAUGAUAAAAAGAGAAUUUUUGAUGCGGAGUGCUACUUGGCAUAAUUUCAAUGCAAAUCUUCUUAAUUGUGGUAUGAAUAUUCAGAUUAGAAGAUUCAAGACAAAAGUUUAUGUUAACAUAGAAAAUAAUAAUACUUCAAGCAUACUAACAAAGCAAUUAUGUCUUCUCAAAAUAACAUGGCCAAAGGAAGUUAUCCCUACUGUCGUGGAAUUGUCACGGCAGAUGUCCUUAGUGUCAGGACUUAGUCGCGAGGCCAACACAUCUAUGCGGUAGCUUGAAGGGGUUGGUCGGAAUCGAGAGACGCACGGCGGAUCAACACACAAGACAAGGAUUUAGACAGCUUCGGGCCCCGGGAAACGUCGCCCGGUAAAAACCCUACAUGCUGUUUGGGGCUAGGUCUCAUUAUGAUCACGAGAGAGUCACCGGUAAGCCGGCUCUUUGUGUCUAUCCCUAGAGAUUUGUUUCUUCUUGCUUGUCCCUCUCGGGGUGCCCUGCCCCUCCUUAUAUAAGUUAGAGGGGCGGGUUACAUGUAGAGUCCUAUUAGGAUUAGAACUAACUUAUUCUCUAUUACAAGUCGGAUACAAGUACGGGUCUUGCUUCCUUGUAAAGGAAAUAUUCCUCAUGCCUUCUGUCUUAAGACGGCCCACCAUAAUAUGAGCCAGCCUACUGGGCCUUGGGCUUAGUCUUCUAUGUGACCCGCCAUCGGGGUCAUCCGUGAGUCAUCAGGCUCGUGAGUCGUCUGCCUAGUGAGCCGCCAGAACCGUGAGUCGCCAGUCUUCCGGCGGAUCAUUGGUGAAGCACCAAGUCCGGCCGGAUCAUACUUCCGGCCGGGUUAUAACGCGGGGUAUAUUCCCGACAUUAGCCCCUAGUUUAAUUUGGAUUUAUCCAUGUUAAACUAAUCUGCAAUAUAAACACAAGAAUAAAUUUGACAGGUUGUGUUCCGGGUUAAAUAUUCUUUGUAAGCCGGCACUUGAUCAUCCUUAAGUCUUUGUCAUCUCCUUCUUGAUAUUUAUCCAUAAUCUCAUAGCAAAUCUCUUUAGCAGAUAUGUUCAAAUUUUGGCAAUGCAAAAAAUCCAGAUACUUCCUUUGAAAAAUCCAGGUCAACAGGCCAGCUUCAGAGUCAAUUUGCUGACAUUGGUCUCUUGUUGAGAAAUAUUGUAAGAUAUAAUCCACUUGAGUCGGCUUUCAAUGCUCUGACUUGACAAAAAUAUUGGUCUUCAAAUAUUCAACUUAUAUUCAGUUGGCUUGAAGAUAUAAAACUUGCCGGUUUAUGAUUACCAAAAUAGCCGGGUUCUAAAUAGAUGAUACCGAGUCAUAAUUGUCGCUGACGCCGGUUUAUGAUUUUUGCAGACACCGGGUCAAUCUGAUUUACUCAAACUGAGAAUUUGAAGAUAUUUCUCCCUUAUAUCCAUAUUACCUGUAGCCCCCAAGGGCCGGUUUAAUCAACAUGAAUAAGCCGGGACUUAUCACCAUGGCUUUAAAUAAAAUCCAGCUGUGUAGCCCCCAUGAGCCGGCUAUAGUCAUAGUAGUGUAGCCGGGUCAUCCUAGAAUUGUCUUCAGCAAAGAGCAAUAUGCAUUAGCCCCCAAGUGUCGGGUCAUUAUGUAAUAAUGAGCAAGGACUUUGUAAAUAUGAUGAUGUAAAUUUGAGCAGUAACGUGUAGCCCCCAAGGGCCGGCUUAGUAAGAUAAUACUGAGCUGGGACUUUUCAUUGAAAAUAAUAUCAUAUGAUGUAACCCCCAUCCUGGGGCUUGAACCCACGUCCACAAGGUUAAGAGCUUUGUGCUUUACCAACUGAGCAGUGGAUCCUUGAAUAUAAUGGAAUAAGGCUUGUGUAUCUUGAAUUUUAACAGGAGCAAUUGGUAGCCCCCAAGGGCCGGCUCAUUACAAUAGGAUGAGUCGGGUCUUCAAUAAGGCCAAUAAAAAUGACUUUGCAUUAGCCCCCAAGUGUCAUGGUGCAUGCUUGCAGCGACAUGAGACUUGCAUAUUUGGUGUAACCUCAACUUGAAUAAUGUAGCCCCCAAGUGCCGGGUUGUAAGCUUGCAGCGACUCGGGACUAUUUCCUCCGUUGUAAAAUAAAUCAUGCCCAUUGAUAAAGAUAACAGCCGUUGCGCUAAAGCGACUUUGAAAACCUUAAUCAUAAUACUGGUUAUUGAUAAUCAUAAUAGAAAUCCAGCCAUGUUGGCUAUUCAAGAUUUGAAUAAUAUAAUCCGGUAUGAAAACCUCAAUCAUUCAAUAUCAUCAUGAAAAUCCAGCCAUGUUGGCUAUUAAAGAUUUGAAUGACCCGGUUUGAUAACCUCAAUCAUUCAAUAUCAUAACGACAAUCCAGCCAAGUUUUGGCUAUUUAAAGAUUUCAAAUACCUUAUCUGUUGACAAGUAAAUCCGGAGUUUAAAUACCCGACGGCUCUUGGCCGAUGGCGAUUCAAUACGCCUUCAUUGUAAACCAAAAUUUUUAUGACCCGGCGUCGUAUAGCAUUUUGAGAAAAAUCCAGAACGGAUAAUCAUUUUGAAGCAUCAACUUUGGUAAUGAGCUUGAACUUAAUCAUUUAUAUGUCAUAUUUCUGCAAAUCCUGCAGAGAGUUUAAACAACAUAUGCCCUGGUGACUUAGCGUCAAAACCAGGGUGGGUCAUAAUAUCUCACAUACAACCACUGUGAUAUUGAAUUUGUACUACCGGCUUACAUAACCUGUGCAGUAAGGGUGAUAACCCAAUCCUUAGAAGCCAAUGCUUCCACAUAGAUGAUGAUCGUCAUAAACUGGCGACUUAUAGUCAAAAGUCAAGCCGGGUUAAACAUAAAACACUUAUAUAUAUUUGAGAUAUAAUCCCAAAAAGGUCUUAAGUUAAGUAAUUGUGGCUGCAAUAAACUUUACCAGAGACAGAAUAAAACUUUUUGAGGCUUCUGAUUCGGAUACGAUCAGUAAACCGUUCCAAAGGGGUUAAGCUAAGAUUCAAAUAUGAUCAUAUAGACCCCAGUGGCUUUGGCGAUGCCGAUCAAGAGGGUAUCGACAGCUAUGUUCUCUUUGGUUCGAAUACGACCUAUGUUUGAACAGGAAGCCCCCAAAUGACCUUGAGAGUUGUUUAACGACGCUGAUUCAAAUACAAUCCACGUCGGACCCAAAGGGGUUGAGCUAUGAUUCGGAUACGAUCAAGAGGCCCCCUAGUGGGUUUGGCAGUAUGCCAAUCAAAAGGGUUUCGACAGCUGUGUUCUCUUUGGUUCGAAUACGACCUAUGUUUGAACAGGAAGCCCCCAAGUGACCAUAUAAGUUUUGGCAUUGCGCCAAUCAAGAGGGUACUGAUAGCUAUGCUCGAUGAGCAGGAAGCCCCCAAGUGAUCAUAAUAAGAUAAGCCAUAAGGCAGGAUAUCCAAGUUUGAACCGCGCAUCAUGGCAGCAAGUUCUUUUGGCAACCUUUAAUUUUUCUGAGAACUCAAACUUGCGAGAGAUUAAAUCUUUUUGAACCGAAACUUUAAACCGGAUUUAAAAGCUCCAAAACUUUGUGAGAGACAAAUUUACCUUGAGCCGGAUUUUGAACCGAAUUUGAUAGCUUCAAAGCUUUGCGGGAGAGAGAUGUCUCUUGAGCUAUAUUUUAAACCGUAAUCUUCAUUUUGAGCCGGAAAUUUUUCUGACGACCUUUAAAUAUUCGCCAAUAAAGAGGAGCCUCCGGGGCCGGGUUAUCUUCCCUUUAAUGACCCGGAGUUCUUGAAUUCAUUAAAACCGGCUACUUUUGCCGAGCCAUACCAUUGUAGCCCCAGAGUCUCAAGAUGACUCGAAGAGUUGGCUUGAGAUUCUCCAUAUUUGACCAUAGCAGAAGGUGUAUAUCAUUGGCGUUGAUAACGCGAUGUGAAUCCACAGAAGGUUGAGGUGACUGCGGCAGGUUAUAAAUGAUCCCAUAUGAGCCGUGUCAGCAACUCGGCCAAUGGUUCCUUCCAACUGGUUGUUUGAAGCUUAACCAAACUGUAGUGGCGGCGAUUUGUGCGCCUGCCCAUUGAGCCAUCCAGUGCAGACGGCGGCUGAUAAUACAUGAUAAUUUGCCUCCAAUUUGUUGGAAGGAAACCGGCUUCCCAAGCAGUGACUUGCUCAUACUCAAUAAACAACUCAUGCAGACAGGUGCGGCCCGGUGUGUUGAUGUAGACCAGGCCGCGAGAGACGGACGGUAAAGACGACCGUAACAUCAGAGGCGGCAUAGACAGAUGAACCGGCCGUGGCGUUCUAGGCCGGUGCGGACGGGCAAGUUGUCCUCCUUGUUGUAAGCCGGCGUGGUCGCGAGAAACGGCCACGACGUUGUAAGCCGGCGCAGUCGCGAGAGACGGCCACGGCGUUGUAAGCCAGUGCGGGAGUCCGUUGAGUAACGACGACCACCUGUGUCAAAAGAUGUUGGCGUGCCUUCAUCUCCGUGGUAUAAUAUCACUUUUUGUCAUAAAUAAUUGCCCUGCAUAAACAAUAUUGCAGACCAAGGAAAAGAUAAACUUGUUCUUUGACAAAAACAACAUGUGCUAAUAAAACAAACUUGAUGGAUAUCACCUGAUUUGUUUGGACGACGAAUGAUCCAUUUAUCGCGACAGAGGUGGCUCAAGCAGACCAGUGACUCAAUAUAGUUUCGGCGGCUCAGGCAGACCAGCGAUUUAAUAUACCCCGGCGGCCCAAAGUGGUAAGGGUGGCUCAACGCGGCUCCGGCGGGUUAAUGUAGAUUAAACUGCACGGGCGGCGACUUGCACACACUUGCUCCAUCAGUAAGCGGGCGCAGAUGCCGGUGCGUGAUGGUCCUUACGUAUACUUCAUAGGCACAACAUGGCACCACCUUUGUUAGAGGGAUGUCACCGGAUUCGGCCGGACAACAGAUGAGUCGGCCGCGGUGUUGUAAGCCAGUGCGGAUGAGAGAGUCGGCCACGGUAUUGUAAGCCGGCGCGGAUGGGCAAGUCGGCCGCCGCGUUGGAAGCGGCGCAGACGCGUGCGAAUCGGCCGCGGGCACGGACGAUGAGUUAACCGCGUGCGUUUAUGUAGUGGGGGUGACGACUCUCUCGUCCGCGCUAGUGCUAAAAAUAAUAUUGGCGCACGUCCCUUUGCGACACCUUUGUAAUAAUAGUCCUUAAAUUGAUUGCAGCUUCACGUAACCACGUGACCGAGUACUAGUAGUACUUGGAUUUGACUAGUCUCCACCACAGGAAAAAAUAACAACAGCACCAAUUCCUUCAGGUCUUGAAGCUGCAGGUGGAUGGAAGUCGGCACUUGGCGGCUCGUCCUUUGUUCCCCUGACAAUAAUGGGUUAAACGCGGCGGGUCUGGCGUGGCAGGAGCGGAACCAGCGAACGGGUGGAUCCAAGUGACAGGCACAACAGCCGGUGGUUGGCAUCACGGGGCCAGUUAUGCAGCAACUCGACGCCAGAGAAAGGCAGGGGCGGCUCAACGACUCAGUGACCACGUGAAUCAGAGGUGACAGCGACUCUCCCACUGCUUGAAACGGUAGAGGCAAGGCGCGGCCGGCCCGAUGACGCGGGCCCGGCGGCUGAGGCGGAGGUAGAAACUGAUUCCCUGGCUUCAUCCACUUCCAAAACUGCAGGCGAUUUUUGUCUCCUUCCUAUGAGGAUGACCCGGUAGUGGCUCUUGAUGUAACAAUCGAUCUGUCUCCUAAAUCUUUCAUGAAUCUCACGUAGAGUAGAAAAGGUACAAAGUGCUCAGGACUAGUACUCCAAAAUUUUAGCAAAAUAUCGCCUGAUUUCAUCGGGGCUUGAGCUCUGUAUCAAUUGAUGUCAGACGCGGGACUUUGAUUUGCAGUGGCCACGGAAAUUAACCCGGACUCGACGGAUCCUCUGGUCGCGUGUGCUGGCGCAUCACAACCCUAAUUUUCUCUUGAUCUGUCGCUUUCACUAUUUGUUGAUGAUCUUAUCUUCUGCGCCGGCUUUUCUUCAUCCGGCACAUCGCGAACUUCUUGAUCCCUGAAGAAAUCCCUUCAAGAACUCAACACUACCGUGUGCAGGCCCCACGGUGGGCGCCAACUGUCGUGGAAUUGUCACGGCAGAUGUCCUUAGUGUUAGGACUUAGUCGCGAGGCCAACGCAUCUAUGCGGUAGCUUGAAGGGGUUGGUCGGAAUCGAGAGAUGCACGGCGGAUCAACACACAAGACAAGGAUUUAGACAGCUUCGGGCCCCGGGAAACAUCAUCCGGUAAAAACCCUACAUGUUGUUUGGGGCUAGGUCUCAUUAUGAUCACGAGAGAGUCGCCGGUAAGCCGGCUCUUUGUGUCUAGCCCUAGAGAUUUGUUUCUUAUUGCUUGUCCCUCUCGGGGUGCCCUGCCCCUCCUUAUAUAAGUUAGAGGGGCGGGUUACAUGUAGAGUCCUAUUAGGAUUAGAACUAACUUAUUCUCUAUUACAAGUCGGAUACAAGUACGGGUCUUGCUUCCUUGUAAAGGAAAUAUUCCUCAUGCAUUCUGUCUUAAGCCGGCCCACCAUAAUAUGAGCCGGCCUACUGGGCCUUGGGCUUAGUCUUCUAUGUGACCCGCCGUCGGGGUCAUUCGUGAGUCAUCAGGCUCGUGAGUCGUCUGCCCAGUGAGCCGCCAGACCCGUGAGUCGCCAGUCCUCCAGCGGAUCAUCGGUGAAGCGCCAAGUCCGGUCGGGUCAUACUUCCGGCCGGGUUAUACCGCAGGGUAUAUCCCCGACACCUACAAAAUCAUAUAGUCUGGCUAUGCUCCAUCUUCCCCACACAAAGUAUUUAAAUCAUGCACAACCCCGUUGACAAGCCAAGCAAUUGUUUCAUACUCUAUCUUUUUCAAAACUUUUUCAAUCUUCACGCAAUACAUGAGCAUGAGCCAAGGAUAUAACACUAUAGGUGGAAUAGAAUGGUGGUUGUGGAGAAGACAAAAAUGAGAAGAUAGUCUCACAUGGACUAGGUGUAUCAACGGGCUAUGGAGAUGCCCAUCAAUAGAUAUCAAUGUGAGUGAGUAGGGAUUGCCAUGCAACGGAUGCACUAGAGCUAUAAAUGUAUGAAAGCUCAACAAAAGAAACUAGUGGGAGUGCAUCCAACUUGCUUGCUCACGAAGACCUAGGGCAAUUUGAGGAAACCCAUCAUUGGAAUAUACAAGCCAAGUUCUAUAACAUAAAAUUCCCACUAGUAUAUGAAAGUGACAACAUAUGAGACUCUCUAUAUGAAGAACAUGGUGCUACUUUGAAGCACGAUAUAUGAGACUUGCUAUAUCAUGGUGCUACUUUAAAGCACAAGUGUGGAAAAAAAAGAUAGUAGCAUUGCCCCUUUUUAUUUUUUUAUUUUUUGGGGCCUUCUUUUUUUCUUGGCCUUUCUCUUUUUUUCAUACAAUGCUCUAUUGAAUGAUGAUCAUCACACUUCUAUUUAUUUACAACUCAAUGAUUACAACUCGAUACUAAAACAAAGUAUGACUCUAUAUGAAUGCCUCUAGCGGUGUACCGGGAUAUGCAAUGAAUCAUGAGUGACAAGUAUGAAAGAAUUAUGAACGGUGGCUUUGCCACAAAUACUAUGUCAACUACAUGAUCAUGCUAAGCAAUAUGACAAUGAUGGAUGUGUCAUGAUGAACUAGAUGGUGGAAAGUUGCAUGGCAAUAUAUCUCAGAAUGGCUAUGGAAAUGCCAUAAUAGGUAGGUAUGGUGGCUGUUUUGAGGAAGGCAUAUGGUAGGUGUAUGAUACCGGCGAAAGUUGCGCGGUAUGAGAGAGGCUAGCAAAGGUGGAAGGGUGAGAGUGCGUAUAAUCCAUGGACUCAACAUUAGUCAUAAAGAACUCAUAUACUUAUUGCAAAAAUUUAGAAGUUAUCAAAGCAAAGUAUUACACACAUGCUCCUAGGGGGAUAGAUUGGUAGGAAAAGACCAUCGCUCGUCCCCGGCCGCCACUCAUAAGGAAGACAAUCAAUAAAUAAAUCAUGCUCUGACUUCAUCACAUAACGGUUCACCAUACGUGCAUGCUACGGGAAUCACAAACUUCAACACAAGUAUUCUUUAAAUUCACAACUACUCAACUAGCAUGACUUUAUUAUUAUCACCUCCAUAUCUCAAAACAAUUAUCAUGCUUCAAUCUUUUCUUAGUAUUCAACACACUCAAAAGAAAGUUUCACAAAUCUUGAAUACCAAGCAUAUUAUUAUUAGAAAAAUUACCAUGCUAUUAAGAGACUCUCAAAUUAAUUUAAGUGAAGCAUGAGAGAUCAAUAGUUUCUUUAAAAUGAAUCCACCACCGUGCUCUAAAAGAUCUAAGUGAAGCACAUAGAGCAAAAUUAUCUAGCUCAAAAGAUAUAAGUGAAGCACACAGAGCAAAAUUAUCUAGCUCAAAAGAUAUAAGUGAAGCUCAUAGAGUAAAAUUAUCUAGCUCAAAAGAUAUAAGUGAAGCACAUAGAGCAAAAUUAUCUAGCUCAAAAGAUAUAAGUGAAGCACAUAGAGUAUUCUAUCAAAUUUUAAUUUGUGUAUGGCUCUCUCAAAAGGUGUGUACAGCAAGGAUGAUUGUGGCAUACUAACAAACAAAGACACAAAUAAUACAAGACGCUCCAAGCAAAACACAUAUCAUGCUGGUGAAUAAAAAUAUAGCUCCAAGUAAAUUACCGAUGGAAGUGGACGAAAGAGGGGAUGCCUUCCGGGGCAUCCCCAAGCUUUGACUUUUUGGUGUCCUUGUAUUAUCUUGGGGGUGCCAUGGGCAUCCCCAAGCUUAGGCUCUUACCACUCCUUGUUCCAUGAUCCAUCAAAAGAAUUCACCCAAAACUUGAAAACUUCACAACACAAAACUCAAAAUAGAAAACUCAUGAGCUCCGUUAGCAAAAGAAAACAAAAGACCACUUCAAGGUACUGUAAUGAACUCAUUCUUUAUUUAUAUUGGUGUUAAACUUACUGUAUUCUAACUUAUGUAUGGAUUAUAAACUAUUUUACUAGCCAUAGAUUCAUCAAAAUAAGCAAACAACACACGAAAAACAGAAUCUGUCAAAAACAGAACAGUCUGUAGUAAUCUGUCGCUAGCGCAAGAUCUGUAACCCCAAAAAUUCUAAAAUAAAUUGAUGGACGUGAGGAAUUUAUCUAUUAAUCAUCUGCAAAAAGAAUUAACUAAAUAGCACUCUCCAAAUAAAAAUGACAGCAGUUCUCGUGAGCGCUAAAGUUUCUGUUUUUUACAGCAAGUUCAACAAGACUUUCCCCAAGUCUUCCCAACGGUUCUACUUGGCACAAACACUAAUUAAACACAAAAACACAACCAAAACAUAGGCUAAAUAAUUUAUUUAUUACUAAACAGGAGCAAAAAUCAAGGAAUAAAAGUAAAAUUGGGUUGCCUCCCAACAAGCGCUAUCGUUUAAUGCCCCUAGCUAGGCAUAACAAGCAAGGAUAGAUCUAAGUAUAGCCAUAGUAAUAAGAUAGAUUGAUGAAACUCAUUUCAUAUUCUCUACGCUCGGCAGCAAGUUUUCUUUGAGGCAAGCAAAAGUAAUCAAAAGGAUUAAAUUUAACGGGACAAAAGUCCCCAAGAUCAACCUUGGGAGGUAUAGGUUCCUCCUUUGGUCCUUCAUAAUGCACCACUAAUUCAUCAUUAUAAGCAUUCUUUUGACAGAACUUUGUGAGCCUAUAUUCAAGAGAAUAUCCUAGUUCAUUAUUUCGAAUAGCCAAAUCAUCAUUAAGAUCAGAAAUUCUAUCAACUAAAACAUUGGUAGGAACCUUUCUUCUAAGAUUUUCAUUGAAAGCAACAUAAUCUAGAGAUUGAAAACGCAUUAUUUCUUCUUGAUCAAAGAGGAUAGCCUCUAUGGGAGGAUGGCAAGCGUCCACCCUAUAAUGCGCAAAGAUUUCUUUGGCUUCUCUUAUUAUGAAUCUAAACUCAUGAGCCAAAAAGAUAGUAGCGGCACGCUUAACAGAAGAAUGCUCAAUAUUAGAAAAUUCCAGAAAAAUCCUUUGUAUAGAAGGAUGCAUGUGCAUGAAUUGUCUUUCAAGUUCAACUACAAGCAUAGCAAUAGCAUCCGCAAGACUACUAGUUCUGCGAAGGAUAGAACUACCCAUAGAAGGUAAAGCACCGGCACAAGUAAAGAAAUCUUGAAUAACUCCUUUUCCAAUAAUAUUACCACUACCAACACGGAAUUUUUUUGUAUGAAAGAUGGUAGGUUCUUUAGCAGGAGUAUCAGAAUUUUCUAUGAUAUUGUUGUCGCCCAAAUUGGCGAUAACUUCCCCAGUUUCAGACAUAACGAUAAGCAGGCAAACAAACUAACACACAAGCAAACAAAAAAGGCAAAUAGAGAGGGAGGAUAGAGAGAGAGGGCAAAUAAAACGGCAAGGGUGAAUUGGGGGGAGAGGAAAACGAGAGGCAAAUGGCAAAUAAUGUAAUACGAGAGAUAGGGAUUGUGAUGGGUACUUGGUAUAUUGACUUUUUGCGUAGACUCCCCGGCAACGGCGCCAGAAAUCCUUCUAGCUACGUCUUGAGCUUGCGUUGGUUUUCCCCGAAGAGGAAGGGAUGAUGUAGCAGAGUAGCGUAAGUAUUUCCCUCAGUUUUUGAGAACCAAGGUAUCAAUCCAAUAGGAGCCCAUGCUCAAGUCCCUUCUACCUGCACAAAGCGAUAGCUACUCGCAACCAACGCGAUUAGGGGUUGUCAAGCCCUUCACGGUCACUUACGAGAGUGAGAUCUGAUAGAUAGAACAUUUUUGGUAUUUUUGAUAUAAAGAUGCAAAGUAAAAAGUAAAAGCAAAGUAAAUAGCAAAAUAAUAUAAAAGUGAUGGAGAUUGAUAUGAUGAGAAUAGACCCGGGGGCCAUAGGUUUCACUAGUGGCUUCUCUCAAGAGCAUAAGUAUUCUACGGUGGGUGAACAAAUUACUGUUGAGCAAUUGAUAGAAUUGAGCAUAAUUAUGAGAAUAUCUAGGCAUGAUCAUGUAUAUAGGCAUCACGUCUGUGACAAGUAGACCAAAACGAUUCUGCAUCUACUACUAUUACUCCACUCAUCGACCGCUAUCCAGCAUGCAUCUAGAGUAUUAAGUUAAAAACAGAGUAACGCCUUAAGCAAGAUAACAUAAUGUAGAGAGAUAAAUUCAUGCAAUAUGAAAUAAACCCCAUCUUGUUAUCCUCGAUGGCAACGAUACAAUACGUGCCUUGCUGCCCCUUCUGUCACUGGGUAAGGACACCGCAAGAUCAAACCCAAAGCUAAGCACUUCUCCCAUGGCAAGAACUACCAAUCUAGUUGGCCAAACUAAACGGAUAAUUCGAAGAGACUUGCAAAGAUAACCAAUCAUGCAUAAAAGAAUUCAGAGAAGAUUCAAAUAUUAUUCAUAGAUAGACUUGAUCAUAAACCCACAAUUCAUCGAUCUCAACAAACACACCGCAAAAAGAAGAUUACAUCGAAUAGAUCUCCACAAGAGAGGGGGAGAACUUUAUAUUGAGAUUCAAAGAGAGAGAAGAAGCCAUCUAGCUACUAACUAUGGACCCGAAGGUCUGAGGUAAACUACUCACACUUCAUCGGAGGGGCUAGGAUGAUGUAGAAGCCCUCCGUGAUAACGGCCCUCUUCCGGCGGAGCUCCGGAACAGGCCCCAAGAUGGGAUCUCGUGGAUACAGAAAGUUGCAGCGGUGGAAUUAGGUUUUUGGCUCCUGUUCUGAUCGUUUGGGGGUACGUGUGUAUAUAUAGGAGGAAGGAGUACAUCGGUGGAGCACCGAGGGGCCCACGAGGCAGGGGCGCGCCCUAGGGGGGCGCGCCCCCACCCUCGUGACCACCUCUUUGAUCCCUUGCAGUAGGGUCCAAGUCUCCUGGAUCACGUUCGGUGAGAAAAUCACGUUUCCGAAGAUUUUAUUCCGUUUGGACUCCGUUUGAUAUUUUGUUUAUCCGAAACACUAAAAUAGGCAAAAAAAAUAGCAAUUCUGGGCUCGGCCUCCGGUUAAUAGGUUAGUCCCAAAAAUAAUAUAAAGGUGGAAAAUAAAGCCCAAUAUAGUCCAAAAUAGUAGAUAAUAUAGCAUGGAGCAAUCAAAAAUUAUAGAUACGUUGGAGACGUAUCACAUUACUUGUUGAAAGUUUUUACCUGGCGCAAUACCAGAUAAGUAUGACCCGUGAAAUCUUAUGGGUUCGCACGAUUUUAGAGAAGGUAUAGGUUCAACCCAUAGGGGCAUCUUAGGAACAUAUACCACAAACUUCAGGAGCAAAUAACUCAAGCUCGGAAGUAGAGCAUGGUUGACAAAGCAGAAGAUAUAGAUUGUCAAAGACAUUAUGUAUCAUGGGAAUAACUCACAAGAAUUUUCACUGUGAAGGAUACUAACGGAUGAUAACCCAGCAAUGGGACUGGCGGUCCACAAUGGAGCUGAUGUGAGUAUCGGUACUCAAUAAGAGGAGGAAAGAAUGCAAAUGCAUCAGAUUAUAGUACAGCUAAAUAAUUCGAUGCUUAGAUAACAAAGGAAUUAUCAUUUACAAAUCAAGGGAUCAGAAGCCAAUGGUCUGAUUAAGAAUGCAUAAGUUGAACAGACAUUAGGGGUACAAUCGACGUCAAUUUGAUUGGUCGAUAACCAGCUCAUGUUCAAAAUGACCUCUGAGCCGGAAAGAUAAUUUAGAAGGGUCAAUUGAUGAUUGUGUGCAUUCGCACACAUGUUGAAUCAAUAGGAUCAAAAUGAUGGUGUCAAAAGAUACAAUGAAUAUUGAUAGUCAUAUAGGAACAUCCAUAAUGUAAGCAUACAAGUACUUGUAGAGCAAUAGUUCGAAGAGGAUCCUCAGAAGGUCGGAAAGUAUUACAGAGUAUCUUAUGAAGCAUACGAACAACUGGGGAUGAACGGAUACUCGAUAAGUGCGGGGAAUUAUCCAUAGGGGUAUUAAUGUGGUAAGAACCGCAAGGCAGUAAGCUCAAAGGAUUUUCGGAACAACGGAGAGAAUUUCGGGGUAUCUUGUAAUAACAAGAUCAACUGGGAAACAUUGUAUGAAUGGCGAGUAUAUGUGAUUAUUCGUAGGGGUUUAUCAAUGGGAGGGAAUUGCAAAAGCGAUGGCAUAAAGUCUUGAGAGAACAUCGGAGAGUAUCUUCGGAUUCUUCUGGUGCAGCAUGCGAUCAGCUGUAAUAAGGGGCUCUCCGGGAGAAAGUUGUUACGAGAACCUAAUGUUAGAGUUUAGCAAAUUCAUUUAACCCGAAUAGAAGAGAGAUCAGAAUCCUAGAGUAUAGGUCGAGGAAUAAAAGAUCCUAAUACCACCCAAUGGUGACGUGGGCCCAUGGGCUGCACAGCCAUGUUAGUAAAUCAAUUUUCAUUGGCUAGACUCAACUUCGGCCAAGGAGUGUGGAAGGGAGAUUCCUACAGGCAGUCGGCUCUGAUACCAACUUGUGACGCCCCCAAUUUGACCGUACACUAAUCAUACACGCAAACGUGUACGAUCAAGAUCAGGGACUCACGGGAAGAUUUCACAACACAACUCUACAAAUAAAAUAAGUCAUACAAGCAUCAUAUUACAAGCUAGGGGCCUCGAGGGCUCGAAUACAAGAGCUCGAUCAUAGACGAGUCAGCGGAAGCAACAAUAUCUGAGUAUAGACAUAAGUUAAACAAGUUUGCAUUAAGAAGGCUAGCACAAACUGGGAUACAGAUCGAAAGAGGCGAAGGCCUCCUACCUGGGAUCCUCCUAAUCUACUCCUGGUCAUCAUCAGCGGGUUGCACGUAGUAGUAGGCACCUCCAGUGUAGUAGGAGUCGUCGUCGACGGUGGUGUCUGGCUCCUGGGCUCCAUCGUCUGGUCGCAGCAAUCGGGUAUAGAAAGGGGAAAAAGGGGGAGCAAAGCAACCGUGAGUACUCAUCCAAAGUACUCGCAAGCAAGGAGCUACACUACAUAUGUAUGCAUUGGUAUCAAAUGGAAAAGAGGUAUCAUAUGUGGACUGAACUGCAGAAUGCCGGAAUAAGAGGGGGGAUAGCUAGUCCUAUCAAAGACUAUGCUUCUGGCAACCUCCAUCUUGCAGCAUGUAGAAGAAAGUCGACGAUAAGUUCACCAAGUAUCAUCGCAUAGCAUAAUCCUACCCGGUGAUCCUCUCCUCGUCGCCCUGUUAGAGAGCGAUCACCGGUUUAUAUCUGGCACUUGGAAGGGUGUGUUUUAUUAAGUAUCCGAUUCGAGUUGUCAUAAGGUCAAGGUACAACUCCAAGUCGUCCUGUGACCAAAGAUCACGGCUAUUCGAAUAGAUAAACUUCCCUGCAGGGGUGCACCACAUUUCCCAACAUGCUCGAUCCCCUUUGUCUGGACACACUUGUCGGGGUCAUGCCCGGCCUCGGAAGAUCAACACGUCGCAACCCUACCUAGGCACAACAGAGAGGUCAGCAGGCCGGUCUAAAUCCUAUGGCACAGGGGUCUGGGCCCAUCGCCCAUUGCACACCUGCAUGUUGCGUACGCGGCCGGUGAGCAGACCUAGCAACCUCCAUUACAAAGGAAGUUAUUUUACGCGGUCCAACUCAGUGCGUGCUGCUCAGUCGCUGACGUCACGAAGGCUUCGGCUGAUACCACGACGUCGAGUGCCCAUAACUGUCCCUGCGUAGUUGGUUAGUGCAUAUAGGCCAGUAGCCAGACUCAGAUCAAAUACUCAGAUCUCGUUAAGCGUGUUAUUUUGAAGUAACCGCGAACACCAACCAGGGCCAGGCCCACCUCUCUCCUAGGUGGUCUCAACCUGCCCUAUCGCUCCGCCACAAAGUAACAGUCGGGGGGCUGUCAGGAACCCAAGCCAACCUCUACCGGGAUGGAGCCACCUGUCCUUUCAGCCCCCUCAUCAGAAUCACUUGCGGGUACUCAACGAGCCGAGCCAACUUUAGUCACCACCUGUAUAGUAUGUAUAUAUGUAUGUAAAUACCCGUGAUCACCUCCCGAGUGAUCACGGCCCGAUAGUAUAGCACGGCAGACAGACAAGAAUGUAGGGCCACUGAUGAUAAACUAGCAUCCUAUACUAAGCAUUUAGGAUUGCAGGUAAGGUAUCAACAGCUGUAGCAACAAUGACAGGCUAUGCAUCAGAAUAGGAUUAACGGAAAGUAGUAACAUGCUACACUACUCUAAUGCAAGCAGUAUAGAUAAGAGUAGGCGAUAUCUGGUGAUCAAGGGGGGGCUUGCCUGGUUGCUCUGGCAAGAGAGAGGGGUCGUCAACACCGUAGUCGUACUGGGUAGCAGUGGCGUCGGUCUCGGUGUCUAGCGAGAGAAGAGGGAGGAAACAAUAAAUAUUAAGCAAACAGAUGCAUAGUGAUGCAUGACAUGACAAGUAGCGGUGCUAGGGGUGCCCUAAUGCGGUAUGAGGUGGUACCGAUGAAGUGGGGAAACAUCCGGGAAAAUAUCCCCGGUGUUUCGCGUUUUCGAAAAGAUGAACCGGAGGGGGAAAGUUGCGUGUUCGCUAUGCUAGGGAUGCGUCGCGGACAAACGGGCUGCCUAUCCGGUUUCGUCUCGUCGUUCUGAGCAACUUUCAUGUAGAAAAUAUUUUCAUCUGAGCUACGGUUUAUUUUAUAUGAUUUUCUAAAGUUUUAAUUCAUUUUCAGAAUUUAUUUAAUUUAUUUAAUUCAACAUUAUCCAGAAUGGUGUUUGCUGACGUCAUCAUGACGUCAGUAGUCAACAGAGGUGUUGACUGGUCAAACUGACGUGUGGGUCCUGCAUAUCAUUAACUGUCUAAUUAAUUAACAGGUGUCAAUUAGGUUAAUUAGUUAUUAUGUUAAUUAGUUAAUUUAAACAGAAUUAAUUAAGUUAAUUAAUUGAUUAUUUAGUAUUUAAUUUUAUUUCUUAUUAUUAUUUUUUAAAUCGUUCUGGGGUGUUGGGGUCCCCUUGUCAUUUGCCCUAGGGGCCAACCGGGGCGGGUGCGGCUUAACGGGCAGCGGGCGCGGGUGUAACGGGCGACGGGCACCCGUAGCCUGCCCGGGGCGGGGCGUGGCCGUGGCCACGAUGGGGGUUGCCGCAGCGGGGCACGAGGGCCACGGUGGGUGGAGGCGGGGCGAGCGGCGAACGCCAUGCCGGGCCGCCGUGGAGCGGCAGCAACGCAGCAACCAGCCACAGCACGGGCGCGAGCGCGUGAGGUGACACGUCGGGCAGGGCGGGUCGCGGUGACCGGGCGGAGCAGCGGCGAGGAGGGCAAGGCCAGGCGCGGCCAGAGCGCGGGGCAGCGGGACGACGCGGGCGACGAGCUUGGGCGCGGCCCGGGGCAUGAGCGGGGCAACAAGGCAAGUGCGGCAGCAGCAGGAGAUGCAGCGCGCAGGGGGAGCGAGCAGCCGGAGCGGGGACCGAACCGGGCGGCGGCUACGGUGAGCGCGCACGGGGCACGGCCCGGCGCUACGAGGCGAGGGGGAGAGGAGGACCGGGGUCCUCACCGGGACUGUGGGGGUUCAGGCAGUGGGCUCGGGGAGGAGCCGAGGAGGUCCGGCGAGGCGGCACCGGCAUCGGAGAGGCGGAAGUCCAGCGGGAUCCGGCGACGGCACGGUCGCGAACGGGGCGAUGAGGCCUUGGUCGACGACGUUGAAGUGGCAUGGCGCCGCCUCUGGGUUAGGGAGGCGACGGGCGUCAGCGGUCAGCGAGGUGGCGGGAUCGACGGGGACGCAGGGGCGAGCGUCGGGGUUGGCCCUGGUGCCCGAUCCGAUCCAGACGGGAACAGGGAAGAGAGGGGGGAGUGGGAUAGUGGGUGGAUUAGGGUUUCGGGAGUGGGGGUGGCCUAAGUAGGGGGUGGGCCGGCAGGCCACACGACCAACUGGGCCAAGGCCCAGUCAGAGGGAGAUAAAGUUGUUUUCCUUUUAUUUUAUUUUUGUUUUAUCUUAUAUUUUUGUUUUAUUGUUUUUAUUUUAGUUUCCUUUUGAAUUUUGUUUUAUAAACUACACCACUGGUUCCUAAUUUAGUUUUAAUAAGUAUGCCACUGCUUCAUAAGUUUUUGGCAAUAAAACAAAUUGUUUAAUACUUUAUCAAAUUGAAAAGGGUAGUUAGUUAAAUGUUUUGCUGCUGUUUUAAAUAUUUUAGUGCACUUAAACCUUUUAUAAAAUUGGGGUUUCUCCACAAUAAUUACCUAUGCAUUAUUUGGCAACACCCCAACAUUUUAGUUUUAGUAUUUGAAAAUAUUUUAUUGUUUGCUUGAUUUUGAAUUUGAAUUCGAACCGGUUUCGAACUAACGCGUGAUUAGCAAUAGUAAUCGAGGUGACGUGGCAUCAUUAACGUGGGAUUACUGUAGUCUAAUUAUUCGGGCGUCACACCUUGUUUCCUAGCAUUGCAAUACCGUUUACGCUCAUUUUUACCACUUGCUACCUUGUUGUUUUUAUGUUUUUCAGAUUACAAAAACUUAUAUCUACCAUUCAUAUUGCACUUGUAUCACCAUCUCUUCGUCAAACUAGUGCACCUAUACAAUUUACCAUUGUAUUGGGUGUGUGGGGGACACAAUAGACUCUUUAUUAUUUGGUUGCAGGGUUUUCUUGAGAGAGACCAUCUUCAUCCUACAUCUCCCACGGAUUGAUAAACCUUAGGUCAUCCACUUGAGAAAAAUUUGCUACUGUCUUACAAACCUCUGCACUUGAAGGCCCAACAAUGUCUACAAGAAGAAAGUGUUGUAGUAGACAUCAUCAGGCCAUGUGUAACGGCUGACGGCAACUGAAUCAGAAGGUGGUGGCGUGGAGGGAAGGGGAAGGGAGAAAAUGGGACGAGCUAGGGUUGGGCCGCUGUGGCCCGGCUUAAAUAGUCGGAAUUGGUACCUCUGGUAGCCCACCGGAGCGGCGCCAUGCGGAGCCAUGAAUGCCCUCAUCGAAAAAACGAAGGAGGUGCACGUCAGACUGAUAAGUUUUCGCUUGGGAUAUGCACGUCAGUCCGACGUGGCGGGCGCGUCCGAGCAUCCCCAUAUCCACCUCACAUAUGGGUUGAAUAUGGGGUUGUCGGUCAGCCCGGAUGUUUCGGCCGGAUUUGCCCGGUCCGGUUGGAUGGCAAAAUCAUGACCGGGCAGGCCGCCCGUGCGUUUGCGAUUGAUGUGGGAAGUUCGGCUGAUGCUUUAACAACAUAUUCAAGAAAAUGCUUUUGAUGGUCAAUUAAAAUUUCUGACUCGGUUACUAAAAAAACUAAGCUCAACGCAAUAGGUGGCCAAUGGGAUGGCCCGAACACGACACAUCCUAACACAGCGCCCGGCACAUGGGCUUCACCUGGGCGGACUAGAAUGCCAUGCAUGAUAAACAGGCCGGCCCAGCACGGCACAUGUACCGGCGGCCCGCGUGCUUUUCAGCCUUUUGUGUCAUUUAAAAAAGAAAAAUGAAACCAAUAAACAGGUCAUGUCGUGCCGGCCCACGAACCUCACCUCGGCGAACAAGCACAGGACAUAGUGGGCCACAGGCCAGCACGGCCCAUUUAGUCGCGUGCCUGGCUGGGCCCUUUACGUGCCAGGCACAGGUGCUCGUGUGCCGGCCCACGAAAAACGACUACUUGUUUGGUUUGCCUAAGAAAAAAACUUGUUUGGUUCAUGGUUUUUUUUAUAUUGUUUGGUUCAUGUUGUGCUACAGUACGAUACUCCCAUCCAUGUUUGNNNNNNNNNNNNNNNNNNNNNNNNNNNNNNNNNNNNNNNNNNNNNNNNNNNNNNNNNNNNNNNNNNNNNNNNNNNNNNNNNNNNNNNNNNNNNNNNNNNNNNNNNNNNNNNNNNNNNNNNNNNNNNNNNNNNNNNNNNNNNNNNNNNNNNNNNNNNNNNNNNNNNNNNNNNNNNNNNNNNNNNNNNNNNNNNNNNNNNNNNNNNNNNNNNNNNNNNAAACUACUCCAUACACACGCCGCCUCUUGCUCAACACCGCCACCGGCCGGUUCCUCCACAAGGAGCUCCCGGCGCUCCGCGACUACUGCGUCGUCGCCACCACCCUCCGCGGCUUCUUCGUCCUGGAAGACAGGAGCCCUCCUCACGCCGCACGCGUCUUGAACCCUCUCACCGGCGACAUGAUCCGUUUCACGGCGCAGGUCACCGCUGGCGUCAGCACUGGCUUCUCUCCGCACAUGCUCGCCUUGUUCUGCAACUCAUGUUGCAAGAUGUACAUGGCCAGUCCUCACAGCUUUGACGCCCCAGACAUUGAUCCUUCGGUUUACAGUUUCUUCCGGAGGGCGGUUGGAGGUGGUUUGGUCGGCCAUUGGCGAGAAUUAAGCACAACAACUGACAUGGCUCUCAAGAUCUGCGAACUGAGGCAGUUGCUUAGUGUCGAUCUGUCAAAUUACAUUUUCGGUGGUGCUACCAAGAUGGGAAUCGCAGACGAUGCCCUGUGUUUCCCAAUGGAAUUUGGUGGUCAGAUGCUGGUCGUCAUCGAGGGACAAAGCUUCUUCUGGGUUUUAAGAUUCCAAGCCGAGAGCGGCAUGCUUUUGCCUGCGAAGAGCAUCGGCAACCAUGCAUUCUUCAUUGGUCAUCAUAGGUGCCUUCCUGUGGAUGCUGAUAUGUUCCCAUCAAUCGAGUCAGACUGUAUCUACUAUACUGAACACCACGCUUCGUCUGCUCACAUCCGGAAGUACAAAAUCAAGGAGUGUAAAGCAGAGAGGGUCUCUGAAGCCGUCGAUUUUGUGAAGCAGCGCAAGCAGUUUGUCCUCGUGGGCGAACGUCCUUUCACGAUCAUCCAGCUUCUGUCGAGUUACACCAUCAGCACCCGGGAGGGAUUCUGAACUGGCUAGCACUGCUAAACUUGAUGUUUGAGCCUAUGGUAUGCAUUGCUUAGAAAGGUUUGCUCUUUUGUAGAUUGUUAUUUGGCUAUGCCUUCACUUGUUCUGGGCAAUAGAACCUAGGUUGUAUCUUCUGUGAUGGAAUUACUCUUAGCUAUCUUAAUUAGGACAUGGUAUGUACCCAGUGCUACGCUGUUUAGCUUGAUGCUGUUAUCUUGUGUGCAAUGUGGUUCUUAAUUUCUGCAGCAGAUGAUGUCAGAUCAACCUUUUCCCCCCUUUUUCUAUAUUUUAGCCCUGCCAGUGAAUCUAUGAAUAUAUGAAAUGCCUCGUUGUUGUCCAUAAGCUUUGAAUUUUGCAACCCCUUGUAUAUAUCACGUGCCUGAAAGGUGUUUAUAAUCUAUGGAUAUAUCACGUGCCUUGCGAAAAAUAUUUCUGACAGAAUUUAUUGUUGCUGCUUCUGGAUGUAUUUUGUAGAUUCAGCUGUUCACAUAGAUUUGCCUGAAAGGUGUUUUAUUUUAGCACACACAGUAUGUUGUUCGGAGAAUUCAGGUGUUGAUUACAGUAGCAUACCAUGAAAUUUAAUUGCGGAAUGCUCAUCGGCCGGAGAUUGCAGUCAAGAACCAGUAACUCAAAUUGGUUCCCGGGUGAGUACUGUUAAUGCAAGGCCUGGUUCCCGGGUGGCCCUGGUUCUUGGUGGCUUCUUGGUGUCGUGGUAAGUUGGAUCUUCAGCUAACUAGAAAAUUAACUUUGGAAUGUUUGCCAACGAAAUCAUCAAUUCCAGUUAACAUCUCAAGCAUAUACUACUAGUUCUUUUGAGAAAGAAAACCAUGCACUAGUCGUUCAGGUUUCCUGCUCCUCUGAAGCUUCCUUUUCUUUCCGAGGCUGAGACUCUGAACGAAUGCUCCUUGUGCAGCUUCUGAGCUGCAACAUCGAUGACCCGCAUCCUCAACUGGCCUUGGAACAAAUGUUUUAAGGUGCCGAGGAAUCUUCUUCCAUCUUUUGGGAUAGUGAUCUCGAUGGCCAACAAAUGUUAAUGCUAUUCCUAAGGUUUCCUGUUCUGUUAAUUUCACUGUGACUUACAGCUUGCCCUGUUCCGGGCAAGAAAUAGGUUGACCCAAUGUUCCAUCCCUUUCAGUCGAUGCUCUCUCGUGUCUGUGUCCGUGCGCACUCAUUACACUGCAAUUUGGUGCUUAAUUUCUGGCAGUAGAAAUCGUCAUCUCAAUUUGCCAAAUUUCGGUCCGGUUAAUUUCGGAAUGCCUCAUUCUAGGCAAGGAACAUGUUUUAGGUUUUGGCUUACGGGUGGCCUGUGGAACAGCUGUAGUGCUGUGCAUCGUGUGACCAGGGAGGUAGAAGCUUUCGUCCUCUGAAGCUUUAUUUAUUUUUCUUUUCGAGACGGAGAUCUCUCGAGUUUGAACCAGUGGUUCCUUAGGGCAUGUACAACGCCGGGUGCUUAGCACGGGCGCCAGGAUCAGAUUCCUGGUUGAUUGGGCAGUUAUCACUAGAAUCCCAGCGUUAUGUGUAGCAUCGACGCAAGACCGUGCGCCGGGCGCUUCCUUGUUUUUCUUCCCAUGCGAAGCGCCCGGGUAGUUCAAUUUAACGCAUGUAAUUAGCGCCUGCCAUUGCAAUGUAGGACGCUUAGGCACUUUUUAAAUUCGGCAAUAUUUAUUCUUUUCACUAUUAGCGUCUUUGCAAGCGUCUACCAUUGUAGAUGCCCUUAUGCAGCUUCUACCUCCUCUGUUGUUGCCGCCUGCCGCAAGAUUGCUGUGGCACGGUCUUCGCACACCAGGGCCUACUGACAGAAUGCCAAACAUAUGCACCACGACAAAUAAGACAAUACAGUCCUUGGCUCGCUAAAUAACUCACUUGCGCGCUGUCAUGAACACUACAACCAUGUAACAUCAUCUGUCAUGUAUGCCUUUCAAAUCUUUGCAUGCACUACAAAGCUUUUAAAUAGCGGACUGCGAAGCAAUUGCAGAUUGGGGUCGGCAUUCCAAAAUGUGCAUUACAGACAAUACAAGUGAUAUGCCCGCAUAAGGAAUUUGUAAAGAACAGCCCAUAAAUUUGAGAUAUUAUAUACUCCCUCCGAUCCAAAAUAAGUUUGACACUUGUUUUGGUUCGGAGGGAGCAACCAUUGGCAACAAAUAUGACAUAAUCUAAGAAAUGGUGACAUGUAAGAAAAGACUAUAACUGAACAAUAUACAAUCAAAGAAUAAUAGCUGCAUGAUGGAGCAGCCGCAAAAGCUUGCAGAGGUAGCGGCAGCUAUUUAAAAGCUUGAUGCAAUAUUACCUAGUUACCUAGUACUAAAUGAAAUUCACCAAGGUUUGUACCUUGUUGAUACAUACUCAAUAGUUCACAAAUCAGACACCGACUAAAGUAAAUAAUGCAGAAAAUUAUGCUGUUUUGUUCUCGCUAGAAGCCUAGAACUGAACCCAAACACGCAAAAAGAAUCACCAAGAGGAACAAACUCAAGGCUAAUUAGCCCACAGGAGUACCCAAGCACUUUUUCAGGCGGUUCUAUAUAAUGUAAACGCUGUUCUAUACAGGCAGGCUACCGGCAAUAACCCUGGUAUGUUCAAAACCGUCUCAACUAAUUAAUAACAAACGAUGGUGCUGCUAACAGGGAUGCUCCUGCAACAUUUAUGUAUAUAGCUGCCCUUCAACUCUUGACGAAGACUGAAGCACCCGGCGGCUUGGAUCUCCAACAUACUCCAACUCAUAGGCGCAAGAGGUAGCCGAGGGAG